UGUUAGUACAAUGCUAAGCAUCUUUUUGCCGUUGAAUCUACCUGCCAGGCAAUUCUUGGCACUGAAAACAGAGAUGGUGCAUUCUAGAUGAAUAUGCACAAGGCACAACUGCUCAUGAUGCAAAAUCUGAGAAACUGAGAUGGUGCACCCAUUCUUUCAUUGCUCAUCGACCUCCUGCGGACAGACCAGUGGCAUUUAAAUUGCUAGGUUUCCUUCCCUUCUUGUGGGCUAGGUUUUUUCUGUUACGAUUUUCUUUUCUUUGGCGGAGUGUGUGACAUCAAUUUGGUGUAAAUAACUCUUUUUCAAAAAGUAAAAAUCGGCACAUGUGAAAUUUAUUUGUUGCAUUUUAUGGAGUCCUCAAAGGUAAAUUCUGUCAAUAUAUGCUUAUGCAUAGGCUGAGAAUCUGCUCAUACGAAGAAGCAGAUGAUGUGUAAAUAUGUAGAUAGAUGCCGAUAUUUUGUGGUGUUGAUAAUCGUAAACAUCUUUGGCUUUUGCGAAUCUUAAAAUGGUGUUAUAAGAAAGCAAAUUGUUGUCUAUUUUUUGAAUAUUUUUCAUACACUACUUCCAGCUGUGCCAGGGAGAAAACUGAAAUGCUGUUACCUUGGAAAUUUCUACCGGAGGAAGCAUUGUAAAUUUCAGUUUUACCAGAAAAGCAAUCCCUCUGCCUCAACCUAUUCAUUUUCUUUUUUAUUUAUUUUUAAUCCUUUUUUUUUUAAUUGAGCGAAAAGUGCAAUACCAUUUUUGCGCAUAAAAUUACCUGUAAAUUCGUACAAGAUUACCCAAGACAAACACAAGAUACUAAAAGAUAAAUUUAAUUUACUCAGGUCAUUAAUUUUUGCUUUAAAAAAUUAUUCACGGCUGUAUGUCACCGCCUCCACCUAUCCUCCACAUUCCCCACUCCAUCUGUCACGUGUAACACAACAAACCCUUUUCUUUUUUUUUCCUAUUAUUUACAGUUAUAAAGCACUUUCCAGUUAUAAAGCACGAAAGGACAAAGGAGGGGGGUUUUUUUUUUUUUUUUCCUCCAAGCGAAAAGGAUAAAGCAAAGUCAGCAGUACUACGGAGUACGGAGUACGGAGUACGGACACUUGUUGACAAUUAACAGCUCAACACUGUCUUACUCGGAAAUAUCCGUUUUCCAGCUGAAAAAUAUAAAUUAAAGUACACGGAAAAAUCCAUUUGUCGAGCUGAAAAAGAUACAUAAAAGAGAAACCUGUUUGUUGUAUUAUUGUCUGCAAAACGGUAAACACAAAAACAAACAGAGAGAAGAAAAAUUUUUAACAGCGCAAUGAGAAAACAAUUGAGCGAGUUAUUGAAUUCGAAGGACUUCGAUGAUGGUCAGAAAAUUGGGUCGGAGAAGACCUUGAGACGAUGGAGAUCUGCCUGCAAUGGCCGUAGAAGCUUCCAUAAGCUCGCUGGUCUCGACGAGCAUCUCAAAUUACAGGUGAAUUAUCCCUUUUAUUUAUUUUUUUUAAUUAUUAGUUAACUUAUGAUUCAAGUUAAUUUGGGUUAGCUUUAUUGAUUUAUUUAAAUUAUAUAAGUAAUUUUUGUAUUCACUUAUUUAGUUCUUUGCCUAAUUGCGUUGGGGUUAAUGCCUAAUGGGAAACUUUAAAAUCAACACUCAAGAAUUUAAAUGCAGAGUCAAGAGUAAAGGUGAAUAGUACUAAAUGAUUGAAUUUACGAUACCAAACUAAAGGCUUUCUGUGUGUUAUAGGACCAAGUUAGAGUUUUCUAUAUAUGUUGUUCAAAAGCUGUACUUCACUUUACUGAAAAUGUGAGCCUGCAGUCAAAUGAAGAUGUGCCAUCAAGUGAAUGCAUUGUGACUGGGGCUGGCACUGAAGCUAGAAGAUUUCAAGAACCCAUUGAUGAUGUUGGAUCCACAAUCGGUGGCCUUGAUGUAAUGAUAAUUGAUACUGAAACUUUUGUAACCUCACUUAAAAUUGAAUUUAGGACACCGAACUAAAUGCCGUCUGUGUGUUACAGGAACAAGUUAGACUUUCACCUGUCGUUCUGAAAGUGGUACUUCACUGUACAGAAAAUCUGAGUCUGCGUUCAAAUGAAGAUGUGCCAUCAAGUGAAUACGUUGUGACCGAGGCUGCCACCGAAGCCGGAAUACUUCAAGAACCCCCCGUUGAUGACGUUGGAUCCACCGUCAAUGGCCUUGAGGUAAUGAUAAUUUAUACUGAAACUUUUAUUCCUCAUUUCAAUUUUCAAAUAUCAAAAUAUGCUCUUUUGUUAUUUGAAAAUCGCUCGAGUAUCCAGUUUUCUGUUUGGAUUUGGAUACAUCGAGGUAAGAAUAUUAAAGUUUUGCAUACAAUUGGCCUCCAAUUUCUGAGUUUAAAAUUUGUAACUUAAUGAAUGACAAUACAAUUCCAUUGAUUGAGAUGUAUAACUGCAUUCUUUGUAUAUUACAGAUUUGUGAGCUACUUGGUAAAUAUAAGAAACGUGCACUUGCUGUGUUUUAUCUUGUGUUGGAAGCAGCAUCCUUUUUACUGGAUAUAUUUGGGAAAAGUAAGAGGAGGAUCCUUCUUGCUGCAUUUCUAUUGUCAGCAUUUGGUUUUGCUAUUACUAUGAGUACGCAUUCUUGGACCGUGAGAAGAAACAUAGCUGCAACCAGAAUGCAUUUACAGAAGCGACUACUUAUGUUGUUGGAAAUGUCUUUCUCUUUGGUCCAGUUGAUUGUUACGCUUAUUUAUUUUAUUCUGGCGGAAUUGGGUGUCAAGAACAAUUUCAAUACAUCUGUUUUCCCACUGGUCUUUGCUAUAAUUGCUGCUGUGUUUACUUUCAAAUAUGAUGGGGAAGUUUCUGAAUCGGGCCUCGACAGUGCGCUUGUGGCCCUAGCUGCUGGUAAUCAGGUAUGAUUGUGAGCACAAUUGUAAUCAUCAAGCUGCACUUGGUGAAUUCGCAUAACUUAUCACCUCUAUGACUAUGAAUUCCUACAAAUAUAAAGAAAACUGCAUGAGACUGUAUGCUUUUGCAAUAUUGUGGAAAGAAGGAAAUAUAAAGAUUGUGAGAUUGCAUUGUGUAAGUCAAUAUAAAGAUUGUGAGGUCUAUAAAAGAUUGCUUUAAUAAUUUGUAUGCAUAAUGCUGGGGUGCCUCUGUAGAUUUGGAAAUCCUCUAUGUAAUUAACGAUUGUUGUGGCAGUAUGGCCAAAUCAGUACAGAUAUCAAAUCUUUGAUAGUUUGCACCUUUUUAGGUUCAUAUGCCAAAUAUUACUGGCAAUGAGGAUCCAGAAGCAAAUGGCUGCAUGCCUAUGUUGGCAGACUUCCGAUGAUUAAUGAAGAUGAUUCUGAGAAACGAGGUCCAUAUGCUUGUUCUUCACUCUGCCUUCAGGCUUACUCUUUCUCUCACACUAUUUACACAAACUCUCUUUUCAGUACCGAAAGCUUUAUAUAUGUUAAUAGAUGAGUUUGUGAGUAAUGUUUCAGUGGUUUAUUUUAGAAGUCUCACAAUUUGAUUUUUGUUUCAUGGUUAGGACCUAGAGGAGGCAUUUGCCCCCAUUUGCUCAUUUGAUUCAGAUUCAAGUUUUGGUCUUAGGUGUUACAAUUUCAAUUACUUUGUAUUCGAGUUGGAUAAACACAUGUAAUUUGGAUUAUACCUACUCAAUAUAUAUGCAUUAUCUUCUCUGAGUAACUUUUUGUUUAUGGAGCUUGUUGAGGGUAUUAAAUGAUGGUGUUAGUAUUUUGGUGUCCAAGUCAUUUGAUGAAAUUCAUGAAACUUUUAUGGCUAACUCUAUGUUACGUUUGAACGUAACAUACAUUCAAUAGAGACAAUAUCAAUAAGUACCCCUAAUUUUUAUGGAAACUACACUAUUUGAAUUAAAAGAAAUACUUUUAAAUCUUAAAGAAGAAAUAAAAGAAAUUAAACAAGAAAUAGGAAAAAUAAAAAUAGAAUUAUCUGUAAUCCAAUUAAGUCAGAAGAAAAACAAAAGAGUAGAAAAAUUUGAAAUAUUAAAAUCUGGAAUAAUUGGAACAAGCUUUAAAGAACCCAUACAAAAACCUCAACCAGGAAGCUAUGAUGACUGGUUCGUAAAGACUCAAUACCCAAAAAUACUAGAAGAAACAGAAAAAUUGAAAGCAGAACUAAAAACUAAAGAAAAAGGUAAAGAAAAACUAGAAAUAAAAGAAACAUCACUUAGUGAUACAGAUUGAUGGAUGAAACAUUAGAAGAAUUAACUGAAAAAUUCAGUGAUAUAAAUCUAAGUGAUUUGGAAGAAUUUGAAAGAGAAUAUUGUAUAAAAAUGAAUGUUGCUGGAGGACCAGAAAUGAAACCUAAUGUAGCAGAACCAAGCCAUAGGUAUGAAACACAUAAAAAGAAAAAUAGACCAUUUUUUGAAUAUUAUCCACCCACCAAAAAUCACCAAUGGAAAAAAGAAUACCAACCUAAUAAUGACCAUUUAAUACCAAUAAGAAAUGCAGGCACAUUUCUAGAUUUAGACUGCAAAACAGAUCCCCGAAAGGCCUUAGUAGAAUGGGGAAUGCAAAUGAAAUUAUUUUUUCUGUUUAAUGGAUCAAGAGAAGAUUGGAAUGUUGAAACAGAAGAAGAAAAAGUAAAUAUAUUUGCUGAUAUUUUAAUAGCAAGCUUUUCAGGAAAUGUAUUUAAUUGGUGGAAAGGAUUAAGUGAGGAUACACAAGGAUUAAUAAAGGAUUCAACCAAAAUAGCUUUAGGAAGAAAUAAAGGAUUAGGAAUUGAAAGAAUAAUUGAAUAUAUUGCUAGUGAAUUCUUAGGAGAAGAUUGGUUACAAAACACAGAAAAUGAAUCAAAACGUGAUAAGUUAGAAGCAAGAAUGAAAUUAAAUUUAACAAUUUGUAAUAUGUGUUUUGUCAAAGAAUAUACUUGUGAAUUUUCUAAAUAUUAUUAUACCCAAUUUAUGAGUCAUGAAGACCAAAAUAUUUAUAAAAAUUUAUACUAUUCGAAACUUCCUUACCCUUGGAAUGGAUAUUUUAUUAAUGAAUAUGAAAAAUAUACUAGUAAUAAUGAAAAUAGACUCCCAGACACAUUAGGAUCUAGAAUAAGAUUUUUAAAUACAAGAUUAAGUGAAAUAUGUAUUCAAAGAAAUCUAAUAAAAAAGAGUAGAAAUAUUACAAUAAUAUGUUGUGAAAAAACAGAAAUGCCUACUCAGUGGGGAUGUUAUACACCUCAUAAACGGCACAGAAAAUCUUACAAAAAAGAAAAAAGAUAUAAAAAAUAUAAUAAUUUUAAACGAAAAUAUAAAAAAGCAGGAAGAAAAUAUUAUAAAAGAAAAUAUAAAAACCAAAGAAAAAUAUUAGAUAAAUCUAAAUGUAAAUGUUGGAAUUGUGGAGAAAUGGGACACAUCAGUACAGAUUGCACAAAAAAGAAAGUUAGGCUUUUAAAAGAAGAUUUUGAAAAUAUAGAAAGUGAUUUAGAAGAAAUAAGUAAUCUCUCAGACUAUGGUGGAAAAGAAGUUUAUAUGGUAGAAAAAUCAGAAGAUGAAUCCGAAUAAAGAAGAAAUAAUGGAAAAUGAAAAAGUAGAAGAAAUAGAAGAAAUAGAAAAAGAAGAAAAUAAAAGUGGAUAUAGUCUUGUAGCCACUUUUAAUAAAGAAAAAUAUAAUAAACUUUUAAAAUUAAAUAUGGAAAAACCAGAAUAUGGAAUAUUACAUAGAUUUAGAGAUCUAUUUAAAAGAAAAAGAAUUAUACUACAUGAAUAUUAUGAACAAGAAAAAGCUGUAACAAUUACACAGGCUGAAGGAAAUAUUAGAUUUAGUUUGCUUAAUAAAAGGACAAUAGACUUAGCAUUAAGAAAAAUAAAAAGUGAAUCAAUCAAAGAAAAAAUUCAAUAUGUAUAUUUGGCAGAAAUCCAAAUCUUAAUAAAAUCCCUUUUCAAAGAAGGAAUAGAUAGCCCCAUAGUUCUAUCAUUACAUGACCAAAGAUUUACAGAUCCUAGCAUAGGACAUUUAGGGACAAUAGAAGGGAAUUUAUGUUACACUAAAUUAUUAUUUACCUGCCACCCUAGAUACUGUGUACAUAUAAAAGAUAAAAAUAUAGAUGAAACAUUAAGUUUACAUUUUAAAUUACUAAAGAAAAAUCUAAUGAAAGAAGGAAAUAGAAUAAUGACAAUACAUUACUCAGCUUUGUAUAGUUUUUGUAAUUCAAAUUAUGGAGAAAUAUAUGGGAAUAAACCUUAUAUAGAAAUAAAUAAGGAUUGUGAAGAUAUAGCAAUGUUUAUAGAACCUGUAAUUCAAGAUUAUAAAAUUCCCAUUAAUUAUGAAUUAAAAAUAGAUGAUAGAAAACCAUUUUUAGAUAAUAAUAAUGAAAACUCUAUAAUUCCUAUAAGUUUUGCAGGAAGAACUCUAAUAAGAGGAAGUUCAACUAGAAGCACUGAUAAACAGAUAGUUAGAUCCAUACCUACUAAUAGUGUAAUAAAAAUACUAGGUCAAUACUUUAAUGGAAUAGACUAUACAACAAAAAUACCUAUGUUAAUAGAUACGGGUACCAGCCAUAAUUAUAUGAACCAUACUAAAAAUAAAGGACUUUUAGUAAAAGAAAAAGAAAUUCCUUAUGAAUAUACUGAUUUCAAUGGUAAUAAACAUAUUUGUAAACAAGAAGUCAAAGUCCCUGUAAUAAUAGAAGGACUUAGAAUAAUAGUACCUUGUUAUAUAGAUUCAUUUAUGACUACAGAUCCAGAAAAACAUAUAGUAAUAGGAAAUAGUUUUUUAAGUAAUUUAGAAUAUUACAAAAUUGAACCAAAUAAAAUAACUUUCCUUAUACAAGGUCAAAGAAUAGUUUGUGACACAUGUUGAAACAAGCUUAUGUAAAAUAUCCUAUGUCUGUCUAUAUACAAAUAAAUAUAACAGAAAAAGACAUAGAUACUUGUGCUUUAAUUGACACAGGUAGUGAAAUAACUAUUAUGAAAUCCUUUUUAUCCAAUAAAUUGGAAUCAAAUGAAAAAUGAAAAAUUGUAGGAAUCACCGGCGAUAAACAACAGGUAAAUCAAUCUAUAUUAAACUUUGAAAUAUUAUUAGGCAGUAAAAUAAUUCGCAUUAACCAAAUCUUUCAAUAUAAUCAUCUAGAUUGUGAUAUACUGUUAGGAAAUGACUUUUUACAACAAUUCCAAUAUUACCAACAGACUACAUACAUGAUCACCUUAAAAACCCCUUGUAAUCAUAUUUUACGCAUCCCUCGUGAAUUUCGCCCCUACAGAGUUCAGCCAGCCCAGCGUGGUGAUAAGUACAUUUAUGAAAAAUAUUAUUUAAUACAAAACGGUCAGAGUCAGAGUUACAAUAUACAACUAGAAACAAUAAAGUCACAACUUGAACAAGUUUAUAGGGAAAAUCCGUUAGCAUUAUGGAAACCAGAUCAUCCUAAAGCAAAAAUAGAAUUAAUUGAAAAUAGAAUCAUAAGAUUAAAACCCAUGAUGUAUACAGAAGAAGAUAGAGAAGAAUUCAAAAUCCAAAUAAAAGAGUUAUUAAAUUUAAAACUCAUUAGGAAUAGCAAUAGCCCACAUAACAGCCCAGCAUUUAUGGUCAGGAAAAGAGCAGAACAAGUUAGAGGAAAAGCAAGAAUGGUAAUAAAUUAUAAAGAACUAAAUAAAUAUACAAAAUUUGAUGGAUAUUUUCUCCCUAAUAAAGAGGUAUUGAUAAAUCUUGUAAAAAAUAAGACCUAUUAUUCAAAAUUCGACUGUAAAUCAGGAUUUUGGCAAAUAAAAAUGGAAGAAAAUAGUAUUCCUUAUACAGCUUUUAGCACCCCACAAGGACAUUAUGAAUGGUUAGUAAUGCCCUUUGGACUAAAAAAUGCCCCACAAAUUUUCCAAAGUAGAAUAGAUAAAAUAUUUAGAAAUUAUAACUAUAUUAUAGUAUAUGUUGAUGAUAUAUUGAUAGCAUCAGAAACAGUAGAAGAACAUAGGCACCAUUUAAAAGAAUUUGUUAAUAUAUGUAUUAAGGAAGGUAUAGUAUUAUCUAGUAAGAAAGCAGUUAUAGAACAUAAGAAAAUAGAAUUUUUAGGAAUGAUACUCGACAAACAAGGUAUUAGACUUCAGAGCCAUAUAGGAAGGAAAAUAAUCGAAUUUCCAGAUAAGUUAGAAAAUAAACAACAAAUACAAAAAUUUUUAGGUUGCUUAAAUUAUGCAGAAGGAUUUAUAAAAGAUCUAGCAAAAAAGAGAAAUAUACUUCAGAAAUUACUAAGAAAAAAUAAUACUAGAGGAUGGAGUGAAGAACAUACAGAAACUGUAAAAAAUUUAAAACAAGAAUGUAAAAAUCUCCCAGCAUUAAGAUUACCUAAUGAAAAAGAUAAAUUGAUAAUCCAAACAGAUGCAUCAGAUUUAUAUUGGGGAGCAAUUCUGAAAACUGAUAUAAAUGAAAUUUGUCGAUACACAAGUGGAACAUUUAAUCAGGCACAAAUCAAUUAUCCAGUACAUGAAAAAGAACUCCUUGCAAUAUACAAAGGAAUUAAAAAAUUUUCAUUAUUUUUACUUCAAAAACAAUUUAUUGUAGAAACAGAUAAUUCUCAAGUAAAUUCUCUUAUUAAUAAAAUUUUACCAAAUGAACCUCAAUAUAGAAGAUUGCAUAGAUGGCAAGUUUAUCUGUCUUAUUACAAUUUUAAGAUAGUACAUAUAAAAGGGACUAACAAUUUCCUUGCAGACUUUUUAAGCAGGAACAUAGAAUUUGGAGAAUGAAUCCCGAAGCAAAUAGAAUUAUCGGAAAAAUAAAAGCUGAGAUACAAAGACUCAAGGCUGAAGCAUCUGAUAUAAUUGAUGCAAUACAAUGUAUAAAAGAGGCUUCUGAGGCUCAUGAGAAAGGAAUAAAUUUGUUAGAGUCAUAUAUAGAUGACUUAACAAAGGCGCUCUCUAUAAACACGAGCCCAAUAGAAAUAAACCCAAAUAUAGGAAGCAGUAGUGGACCCUUCAGAGAAAAUAAACCAAUCUCUGACCCAGUUCUAAAUAAAACUAUAUCCAUAGAAGUUGAGUCACCAAAAUCAGACCCUCCAAAAAAGUUUAUUCAAAUAGACAAUCCUCACAUGGAAGAAGAGGAGAAACCCCUAAAUCCAAAAGAAGAAGAGUAUAAACAAUUCUCUACAUGGAUAUAUUCCACUUGUUCUCAUAAUAAUACAAUUUUUAAAGCACCUGGAAAAAAUAUGUACCCCAGGAUGAUUGUUACAAAAGGAGCAGACCCACUCCUUGUUGGAAAAAUAGCAAAAUAUGGCUAUUUAGACUUAGUAUAUCCCGAUAUAGACCUUCGAGAAAUAGCCAGCCUUGAUGAUUUACUAAUAAAAGAAGUCUCAAGGUUUGCCCAAAAAAGACCCAUAUACUUGAAAUUUUAUACCAUAAGCCCAGAAUACUAUCAGAAUGUAGAAUACCAGGCUUUCUAUAUGAUUUCUGUAGGCCAUCUUACAAAAAAUUUUAAAGUCGAAGUAGGAACAGAAUAUACAAAUGUUCCUCACAUAAAUGAAUCUUGGAUCAGAACACGAAGAGCCAGAGGAAUAAAGGCCAUAUGGAGCAUAGCUAAGGAUUUGUAUAAAAGAAAUUUCAGAACAAUUAUUAAAUUUCAGAAUUACAUCCUUAUAACUUCUGAGGAUGGCCAUACACCUUCAAAUCUGUUACUAGACUUCAUCAAUGAAAUAAGUACUAUGCGUUUCCCCAGUAGUAGUAAAACCAUAGAGCAGGCUUAUCAACUCAUGGACAUAAAGCAAUGAUAGACAAGCUGUGGCCGACAACAAAAAGACAAAGAUACUUGAUAAGGCUUGUGAUAAAGCUACAACAAGACAAAGAUGCUUGAUAAGGCUUGUGAUAAAGCUACAACAAGACAAAGAUGCUUGAUAAGGCGCGUGAUAAAGCUACAACAGAUGCUUGACAAGAUAAAGGAGUGAUGUAAAAGUCCAGGAGUGAUGUAAAAGUCCAAUAAUACAAGGGCAAAAAUGUAACAAUAAUGUAAAAGCCCAAUAAUAGAAGGGCAAAAAUGUAAUCAUAAAACUCGAAGUAACUCCGAGUAUAAAUAAAAGGAAUAAGCUCUAAGGGCUUAUCAUUCAGCCAUAACUCCAUUAUCUUCCAUCAUCUUCAUUCAUGAACAGCUAAAUCUCUUCUCAGCUCAGAAUCCUAAAUCAAUACAUCACUAAUCAAAAACAAAAAAUCACCAUAGAAAGGAAAGAGAAACCUAAAUUUAUUCAACAUUCCUAAGCACAACGAUUGUAUUCCAUACAGUAAAGCCACUCGAGUCCGCUGAUCCCAUUGAGGCAAGGAGGCCGUUGAGGGAAUAAGGACAACCAGGCUGCAGGUCACUGGGAAAAAAUCGAAAGGCAAAGGAACAAGAAUAACUUGGGUAAUAAUUCUCAAUUCUUAUCUGUUGGUGGAAGUUUGUUGAUGAUUAAUGAUGAGGAGAUUUAUGGAAGAAGAGCUAAUUUCUUGAAGUGAAAUAUUUUAAUGAAUAAUGGAAUCUUAUUAGGAAGUUCUAAAGAACAGAUGAUAAACCCAACAACUAGGAUAACGUAUAAUGAUUAUACAAUGAUAAUAGAUUUCAAUCUAGGAUCAUUUAACCAAAGCUCUUAUCUUUUAAAUAAAGAUGAACUUGUUAGAAUAGAAGAACUACAAGCAGUAUAUAAGCUUGAAUUACCAAAGGAAAUAAAAAGAAAAAUUAUAAACCAUAUAGAAAUAGACACUUUAAAGCAUAACAUAAUUAUGUUAACUGUAGAACAAGGAAUUGAUAUAGCCAUAGCAUAUGUAAAACAUGGAAGUAGAGAAAUCGGACCAUCAUACAUUAAUUACUUAGAAAAUUCAGAUAAUGAAGAACUUGAACUAUAAAAUAUAUACCAUAAGGAUUAUAAGGUAUAUAGGCGAGCAACCCAUGACGUAAAUUGGAUAGACGAUCCCGAAUGGGCGUUAGUAUCCUCUGUACUUUGGGAUAACAAGCCACGUACCUAUAAUCAAUAUAUCCCAUAAUUAUGGAAACUUAUAAUGAAAUUAGAUAUUACACUAGUAUAAUAAACAAUAAUAUAUAUUUCAUAAAAGUGGAAAUAUUCUAUUCAGAAGAUGUAACAGGAAGUUUAAAUCAAACUCUUAAUCCUACAUAUAUUAUAGAAACUAAUAAUAGUUAUUAUGACUUGUAUGUUUCUACUCUUCCUAAUCCUAUCCCUAGAGUAAUUGAUGGAGAACAAGUUAUAGCCAUAUUUUUAAGAAAUAAUAGUGGUACAGGAUAUGAUAGAUAUGUACUAUAAUAGUUUUUGCAUAUACAUAAUAAGUGAAAUAUAUCUGUUAGUAAUAUCCAUUUAAUUUUUAAUUUUCAGUCUUUUCAGUUUAAAUUUUAGUUAUAUUCAGUUUAAAUUAUAUUCAGUUUAAAUUUUAGUUCACCAAAACAAAAUGGUAUCAGAGCCAUAACCAGAAUCAUAACUCUUACGAAUUAAAAUCUUGAUAAUAUUUUAUUUCAUAUAAAAUUAAUUAAUGGAUCCGAUACAAGCAAUAGUUAACAGCUUAUAUACUUUAAAAGUAUAUAACAAAGAAGAAAUAAAAAAUCUUAUAAUGGCUUUAAAAAUUGAUAAAAAUAAUAUAAGAAAUAUAGAACUCGAAUUAACAGAAGAAUUUAGAGAAAGGCAUAUAGACACGACAGGAGGAGAAAUAUUAAUAGAAAAGAAAAUGAAGUUUAUAGAUGAAUUUAUAAAAUUUCUAGUAUACUGGUAUAAGAAGGAAGCAUUAUGAAUCAUAAUCAACAUGCAUUUAAUAUAAUACAUGAAUUAGCAGAUAGUAUAGAUCAUAUGAUUUUAGGAUGGGAAAACAUGUUAAAUACAUAUAUAAAUCUAAUAAAUCAGAAAAUAGAAUUACUGGAACAAGAAAGAAUAGGAAUAAUAAAUUUAGGACCAGAAAUCUACUCUGAAAUUAUAGAUUUAUAUGAAUUUGAUAACCAUUUAAUGUUAUUUAAAGAAAUAAACAAAACCUUAGAAAGAAUGAGAAAUAGGUGUAGAAGGGAUGGAAGAAGUCAAAUACAUCCACAAUUGUAAAAGUUAAAAAAUAAAAGUACCUAAAAGAAAUUAGCCAAAGAAGAAAAAGACGAAAAACGUAAGAUACAUUGAUCGUAACUUAGGCACUCCCAACUUUUAUUAUGCCAAUUAGAAUAAAUGAAGCUGUUUUGAUUGGGUCACAGAAGAAACUUUUGAUGUGCCAAUUAACUAUUGAUCGGUAUGGUCAAUUAUCUUGGGUAAAAGGUACACUAUAUGAUAUGAAUCUUUUUGAAAAGUGAUUUUAUCAUUAUCAUUGUUAUUAUUAUUAUUAUUUAACAUAAGGAUUUUAUUAUUAUUAUUAACUUUAAAGCAUUAAUAGUAGGGUAAUAAUAGACCCUUAGAUUUGUAUGUUUUAAUCAUAAUCAUCCAACCUCCGGUGACCAAAUUCACUGCAAAUGUAGCUUUUGUUCCUGCAAAUGUAGCUUUUACCAGAAGUUUUACAUUUCGCCUCCAGAAACUAGUUCAAAUAAUCAAUUAACGUCACCAUGCAAUCAAUAGGACAUCCCACUAGCUAUGUUCAUGUGCUAGUAGAUGUACAUUGGAUUAUUAUUUUCUUGUGGUUGAAGAUUCAUCUGAACCAAAUGGGCCCAUGUGUAAUAAAAAUAAAUAAAUAAAUAACAAAAAAGCAUAAGCACAAACAGAAAAUUUAAUAUUUUUCUGACAAAAUAAAGAGAUAGGUGGGGGCAGUGGAAGACUGACUUUUGAUGACUCUUUGUCCGCCAUUAGAGAAUAACAGCAACCAAAUUAUGUUUUUCACUUCAAUUAUUAUUAGUAUUAUUAAUAAUUAGGACUUCUUUAUCAACAUAAAUCUUUCACCCAAAUUCAACAACCAAGGUUGCCGGUGGGUUGUGCUCGGCUAAUCAAAUGCAAGUAUUAUAUUUAGGGUUUAGUCUUAGAUAGAAGUUAAGUACCUGAAAUAUAAUCAUAGAUAACGCAUUGUACACCCACGUUCUCUGCCACUUUCUCAUUCACUUUUUAAAAAGUAAUCCAAUUUGACAAUAGAAGUAUAGAACUCAAAUUUACAAAGAAUUAUUAUUAAAUCGAUUAGAAUAACAACAUCAAUUUAGAUUAGUAAAAAAAUGUUAUAGAAUAAACAACGGUUGUGAAGAAUCCAAUUUCAAAUAAAAGAUUUUCACAUAUUGUAUUUUAACUUAUCUUUUUUUCCUUUUUUUUAAUAAAUUUAAAAUAACUCUUUAACCAUUUGUCAAUUAAUUAUAUAGUUUUAGAAAUAAUUAAAAUUUUUUAUUAAUAAAAAUAAUGUUCAUCGUUGAUUAAAUUUAAUGGUAUAUAUUUAUGACAUUAUUGAUACUGAAAAAAAAAAGUUAUAGCAUCACAGAGGGACUAUAGAAUUAUCGUUUUCUACUGAAAAAUUUUAGCAACAAAAUUAGCAGCCCCCACAAUGGAGAGAUUUAUGUGCUUUACAUAUUUCUUUAGUUACCAGUUAUCAAAUUCGUGAUUAAGUUAUUUUCUUGAAAAUUAUCUUUCAAAAUUAUUGUGUUCCACAACAUAUUUCCCGGAUAGACUUAUGGAGUAAUUUAAUUUGAAUGCUACAAAAAGAUCACAAGCCAUAUAUUUAUGUGCAAUCAAGAUUAUCUUAUGUGUUAUUAUGUAAAUAAUUACUCCUAUUGAGAAUCUAUAAAUGGUCCAAUUAGUCUUGCAUGCACUUAAUUUGGAGGGCAUUAAUAUUUUAUAUGCAAUCAUAAUCCUAAUAAACUCACUAUGGGUUUAAUUGAAUAGUGAUAUGUUAAUCCACAUCUGGAUCAACCGACCCAAAUUGAUCAAGCAACUCUAGGAUUAAUAUUUGACUCUAGGUUAAUGGAUCAACUGUGAACCGACAUUAUCAAUCAAGGCACCGACUUCCUACUAGCCCAAACCAAUAAUGCCACCUAUAUUCAAAUAAUAGUAAGUGUCUAUUUGAUAUGUUUUAUCUAAUAGUUAUAAAUGUUUAUUCAAUCUCAUAAUCUCUUUUCAAAAUUUUUACUGUUGCUUGUUGUUUUUUGAGUAGAGCUUUUGAAAACUAAAUAAGUUAUUUUAUUUCUACUAGCAAAAACUUAAAUUUUAGUCCUUUUGGUGUACAGGUUGAGAAGUUUUCUUAAAAUGUUAAAAUAUCUAAGAUAUCCUUACUAAUUUAAUAAUCUUAUUUGAUUCCUUUCAUAACAUGACGUUAAAUAAUUUACAUAUUAAUUAAUUUUACAAUUAUUAAUAAAAGCUCUCAUUGACAAUUAAACAACCAAUUUUUUAUUUUUGUUAAAACCUCCACUUGCAAAAACUCUACUAACAAAAGCUCUACUUAAAAAAAUUUUGCAUGAAAAGUUAUACCAAACGGAGCCUUAAACUCCGUUUAAGGUGCAUAGCCAAAUCCACAAUGACAACUCAAUACAUACUGGCAUUAAGAUAUAGUUAUGUGAGAUAAUUGGUUGUUUAUGGAGUAAUCACAAUUAUUUGUCAGAUGAUAUCAAAAAAUUUAGCAGACUCGUUUAGUAACUAAAGGCCUUGUAAGGGUUGGGACUUCCAGCACCAUCUUAGUUAUCACCAGUGAUCAAGUCUAACCCAAUACUUAAAACAUUAAGAUCUUAGAUUCAAUGAGUAGAAGACAUGCAUUAUAAUUUUUCAAGAUACAUUCUAUGGUACAUGUGGUUCAUAUGAAAUGAAAAAUAGUUAAUUUAUAAAAUAUAUUAUCAUCAGAAGAUUUAUUUUCUUAUUAAAUUAAUCACAUAGAUUCAUUUGAUUUUGAAAAUGGUUACAUGGAUACUUAAAAGAAAAAUGGUUACAUACUUAACAAAGACAUUAGACACCAUUCAAUGAACCAGAAGGUAUUCUAUGGCAAAACAGAUACGCAAGGAACAUCUUACACGUUAACCCAAAUGAUUGGCCUACUGCAGCUCAACUAAUGGAGCAUCCAUUUGUAAAGAGGCCACUGCAAACUUCUAGGUAACUUCCUUCUCCUCAUUAUAACAUCAUACAGUCUUCAAAGCUUCUGAUCAUCCUUUUGGGUUUAUUUAUAUCCUAGAGGUAGUCUAGCGGCGUCGCCAAACUAAACAAUUAACUGCAACCUGUAGUUCUAGGUUUGAUUUCUUGUUUGGAUUUAAUAUCAUGGACAUACUGAAAAGAAUUGUUAAAUACAUUUAUAAAAUAUCCAUUUGGGUUUGCAACUUCACUGUAAAGCUUAUGGGGAGAGGAGCAAGAUUCUGAUGCAUCCAGUGGCUGCCUUGGCGAUCGCAAUUCACAAUAUGAAGGGAAUAUGUAGUGAAUUGAAUGCUUUAUAGUUCACUAGCAAGAUGCUUAAGAACCAAUUUCAACAGCCUUGAUAAUUCAAUGAUUAGCAACAAUUAUAAAUGAGAUUUAACAAAGAUCAAGACACAAGACUAAUCCAGCAACAAGAAGCAAUCACACAAUCAAAACAAAGACAGAUUUACUUGGUUCAAUUGUGCAAGAGAGCACAAUCUACAUCCACGGGAGAAGUCACCAGAAUGAGAUUUAUUGAUGAUUCCUGUGAAUGUUACAGAGCUACAAAAAAGUUGAUUAAAAAGAACAAGAUGACAAUUUCUCUCUCUUAUAACUCUCUCUAGAAUGCUCUUCGAUUGAUUAUGAAGCUGCUCUGUUGAUCAGCUUAUAUAUUAGCUUGUAUGAAACCCAGACUGCACAGAUUGAUGCCACCUGGAUAACAGCUUCUUAACUAACUUAAUUCCAUCCUCACGUGCUCGCUCACACGCUUCACUUAAACCACAGCCAAAACGCCUGUCUCUUGCCGAUUUGAUCUUCAGUAAGUCACAUGUUUAGCUCGUGGAAGUCUGGGCUUAUUAACAUGCUGAAACGCUGCCGUUUAGCUAACCCAGGUUUUGAAUUCAUCAUUUUAGUCCACAGAAUAAACAAGUGCCUCUAGAUGUUUUAAAGCAACUCCUUGCUGUUGAUAACUGGACAAACCUUGAGAGAUUCGCAUUAGAUCUGGCCACUUUGCUUUUUAUGCUGGUUUGCUUUGAGGUUAACCUACAUGUUUACAUGGUUGCUCUGUCGUUUGGUUCUAUAUCCAUUAGGAAUAAUUCUUUUAGAGCUUGUGUUAUCUGUUCUUUAUUUUGUAUGUGUCGUUUGUUUGCAGCUGUUAGUACAACGCUAAGCAUCUUUUUGCUGUUGAAUCUACCUGCAAGGCAAUUCUUGGCACUGAAAACAGAGAUGGAGGGUUCUUGGUGAGUAUGCACUGGACACAACUGCUUAUGGUGCAAAAUCUGAGAAGCUGAGAUGGUGCACACAUUCUAUCAUUGCUUAUGGACCCCCUGCAGACAGAUCGGUGGCAUUUAAAUUGCUAGGUUUCCUUCCCUUCAUGUGGGCUAGGUUUUUUUUGUUACGAUUUUCCUUUCUGGGCAGAGUGCUUGGCAUCAAUUUAGUGUAAAGAACUCUUUUUCAGAAGUAAAAAAAAGCAGUAUUUGUAAAAUUUAAAUGUUGCAUUUUAUGGCUCAAAGGUAAAUUCUGUCAGCAUAUGUUUUUAUGCAUACGCUGAGAAUCUGUUCAUAUGACGAAGCAAAUGAAAUGUCAGCAUCUUUGGCUUUUGUGAAAAUGAAAAUUGAGUAAUAAAAAAUGGUGCUUUUUUGAAAAUAAUAAUUAAGAAUGAAAAUAGUGUUUUUAAAAAUGGAAAGGAAAAUGCGUUGGUAGCAUUUUUUAAAAUAAAUUUUCUAAAACAGAAAAAUGGAAAAUGUAGAAAUAGUAGUGAAUUUCUACUAUUUGGGAUUGGUAGAUGAAGAAAGGUGGAGAGAUUUGGCCGCAACUGGAAACAAAAGAUUGUUUUGUAAAAUGCAUCGUAAAAUUAAAUAAAUUUAAAUUUUUAUAAUAUUUUUUAUAACAUGAUAAAUUAAGUGGAUUAUUAAUAAUUUUCUUAAAAAUGAAAUAGAAACCAAAAGGAAUUUAAAUUACAUGAUAAAAGGCUAUUUUAUAAGGGAAAGGUAAAGGGAAUUUAUUAAAAUGUAGCUUCUCUAAACAACUCCUUGUUAGUCGCUAAUAAGUUAAUAUUAUUUUAAUUAAAUAAAUAUGUUUUUUUAAAAAAAUAAGUGAUAAUUAAAAUGUUUCUCUCUUUUUUUUUUAAAUAUAAAAUAUAAAUUAAAAGGGAAAAAAAUAACUCUAUAAAAUUAGAAAGAGAGAAUCAUUUCUUAUUUAAAUAAUUUUAAUUGAAAUAUUUUUUAAAAAAAUUUAAAUCUUAAUAUAAUUUGUUAAAUAAAUAAUAAAAUUUUAUUUAAAAAGCGAGUAACGACACAUGGCAACAUAUACAAUUUUUCUACAUGAGUGAGUCGGUCGCCCAAACGGCCACCAGGAUAAGGAGAGUGAUGUCCUUUUCAGUGUGUACGGACGCUUACUUGUCUUGGCUGGCCAGAAGGAUAAAUCAGUUUUUUAGGGAGAAAGGUCAAAAAAUCCAUACAGCUGAAUGGGGGUAAAAAUGGAGGAGUUAUUGAAUUUGAAAGCCUCGAGAAAAUGGAGAUCUGCCGGCAAUGCAAUUCGCUUCCUCACGAAACGCCGUAGAAGCUUCCGUAGGACCGCCGACCUCGACGCUGAGGCUAACAAUCCCAAAUUACCGGUCCAUGUUCCCUUUUUGUUAGUUACUCAUGAUUCAAGUUAAUUUAGGUUAGCUUGUUCAUGUUAUUUUCUCUAAUUACUAAUUAGUAGCAAUCUAGUAUUACUUAUUUAGUUCUUUGCCCUAAUAAGAACCAUUCAUAUGAAGAAGCAAAUGAAAUAUCAGCAUCUUUUGCGUUUGAGAAAACGAAAAUGGAGUGAUAAAAAAAUAUUUUUUUUAAAUAAUAAUUGAGAAUGAAUAUAAUGUUUUCAAAAUCAGUAAUUUUAAAAAUGGAAAAUGAGUUGGUGGCAUUUUUAAAUUAAAAUGGAAAAUGUAGAAAUUGUAGUAAAAUUUCUUACUACUAUUUGGGAUUGGUAGAUGAAGAAAAGUGGAGAGAUUUGGCCGCAAUUGAAGUGUACAGAUCCACUUGAUUUGUGCGGGAAUUUUUAUAGGUGAAAAAUUUCACUGUUGAGAUAGAUGCGGAGAAUCUCUAUUAUUGAGAUUGUGAGAAAAUUUAGUAUUGGUUUCUUUUUAAAGAAUCUCCCGUGAAGGAUCUUGUUGAGUUAUGAUAGAAAAGGUAAAAGAGGAUUAGUGAAUAAAAAUUUAAAAAAAAUUAUUGAAAAAGAAGAAGGAAUUUGCAGUCAAUAAAACAAAAGAAAAAAGAAUUUUUUUUGUUAUUUUUAUUUUAGCGGUUUAUGUCGAGUGUUUUAUAAAAUAGAAGAAAACAAUAAAUGAGUGUUCUCUGAUUUUAUCUGAUAAGUGUUGGAAACCUGAUUUUUUUUAUUUUAAAAAUUUCUUUUAAAAACUGAUGCACCAAACACGUUUUUUAGCCUUUUUUUUGGUGUUUUUGAAAGCAGAAAAUUGUUUUGUAAAAUGCAUCCAAAUGCACCCUUAAUUGUUAUUAUAUUAUCUGAAUAUUUUCCGUACACUUCCACCUCUGCCAGUUACAAACAUAUAGCGUAUUCAUGUUAUUUUCCCUAAUUACUAAUUAGUAGCAAUUUAGUAUUACUUAUUUAGUUCUUUGCCUAAUUUCAUUGAGGCUAAUGGGGAUCUUUAAAAUCAACACUCAAGAAUUUUAAAUGCAGUGUGGACAGUAAAGAUUAAUAGUACAAACUGAUUAAGAAAUUGAAUUUUCGGUACCGGACUAAAGGCUGUCUGUGUGUUACAGGAACAAGGUAGAGCUUCAUCUGUUGUUGUGGAAGCCGUACUUCACUUUACUGAAAGUCUGGGUGAAGAUGUGCCAUCAAGUGAGUACAUUGGGCCUGAGGCUGGCAUCGAAGCUAGAAGAUUUCACGAACCCGUUGAUGAUAUUGAAUCCACUGUCAAUGGCCAUGAUGUAAAUUUAACUGUUCCUGCUUCUUUGAUAUUAGAAAAUUGCUCAUGUAUCGAGGUAAGAAGUUUCUAAGUUUUGCAUACAAUUGGCCUCCAAUUUCUAAGCUUAAUAUUUUUCACUUAAUGAAUGCCAAUACAAUUUCAUUGAUGGGAAUGCAUAAUUGCAUUCUUUGUAUAUUACAGAUUUGUGAGUUACUUGGUAGAUAUGAGAAACGUGCACUUGCGAUGUUUUAUCUUGUGUUGGAAGCAGCAUCAUUUUUACUGGAUAUAUUUGGGAAAAGUAAGAGGAGCAUCCUUCUCGCUGCAUUUCUAUUGUCAGCAUUUGGUUUUGCUAUUACUAUGAGUAUGCCUACUUGUAUCAUGAGAAGAAUCAGAGCUGCUGCAGCCAGAAUGCAUAUUCAGAAGCUGCUACGUGUGGUGUUGGAAAUUUCUUUCUCUUUGGUCCAGUUGAUUGUUACGCUCAUUUAUUUUAUUCUGGCGGAAUUAGGUGUCAAGAACAGUUUUAAUGCAUCUGUUUUCCCACUAGUCUUUGCUAUAGUUGCUGCUGUGUUUACUUUCAAAUAUGAUGGGGAAGUUACUGAUUUGCCAGGCCUCGACAAUCCAGCUGCUGAUAAUCAGGUAUGAUUGUGGACAUAAUUGUAAUUGGUAGUGUCGUUAAGGUGCACCAAAUUUAAAACCUUACCACUGAUAUAAAUAAUUAGUACAGAGCGAGUAAGGAUCGAUCCCACAGAGACUAUGCUAUUUAUAUUUAUUAUUAACUCCAAAGCAAGAUUUAAAAUAAAAUAAUAGUAGUAAUAAUAAUAGUAAUAAUAAUAUAAAUUAAUCUAAUUAAAGAAAAUGCCAAUUAAAAAUAAAAGGGGGGUUUAUGAAUUUUUAACUAAAUAGUAAGAAAUAAAGAAAUUAAAAUUACGAACAAGAAUUUAAUAAAAACUCUAAUUAAAGGAGAAAGAAAUAAUAAUGAUGAAAACUUUGGUUAAAGGAUCAUUCGCCACCACCAAACAUGCACAUAGUAUAUUAAUUCUAUCAUCAAUUUAUAUUGAAACUUUCAACCGUAGACAACAAUAAGCUCUGUUAGUCUCAAUCUUUCCUUAGUGUGUCGUUAGGCAAAAUAAGCUCUUCACCUAAUCUCUAACCAUUAAAUAAUUUAAAACAAGCUCUUUAAAUUUAAGAUAAUGGAAGCAUUAAACAAAGAAAGAUAUUAGGUUGAUCUAGGCAAUAAACACACAAGCUCGGGUUAUUUAACCUAGGUUAUGUUCUUCAAUUGAAAUCACUAAUUCCAACCUGCUACUUAUGAUUAAAAUAUCAAGACAAUUACGGAUCAAGAAUUUUAAUCUAGCAAUAAAAUUUAUUCAAGUCCUAUCUAAUUGGCCACUCAAAUAAAACAAGAAUAAACCAUGAACAUUAAUUAUAGAAGAACAUAAACAAUCUCAAUUAAAUAAAUUAAAUGAUAGAAUUUAAAUUUAAUUGCAUAGCAUGUUUAGGGUUUUGAAUUCACCCUCAACCAAAUAAAAAUCUAGCCUAACAUAAUUAAAUUGGGAAUAAGAGAAUUGAUAAAACCAAUCAUGGAGAUUAAUUCAAGUGGUUGUUGAUUUUCCUCUUGCUGCCGAAUUGGAUCUGCCCUCUUCUAAAGUCUCUUGCUGCCCGAAUUCUUCUCCUUUGUUUUUUUUUUUCCUUCUUGCGGCUCUUGGUUUUUUUUUUCUUUUCUUUUCUUUUCCCGAAUUGAAUCAGCCCCUGCUCUCCCUCUUUUAUAUUGUGCCUUAAAUCCUCACAUGAAAAGGAUUAAAGACAAAAGUCAAGCCCCCACUUUUCUUUAGAUUCACGUGCAAGGCAAUUUUCCCUUUUUUGUUUCACUUUGCUUUCCAUAAUUCAAUGCCAUGCACGUGACUUAUUUAAUUAAUAAGCCAAUAACAAUUUGGCCAAAGCCCAUCACAAGAAGUGUUUGCCUUAUUAAUUAAAUUAUUUCCAAUGCUAAUUCUUCUCAUCUUCACGUAUGAACUUCAAUUAGGCAUUGGCUGCUUUGAUUUUCUUCCAUUUUAACUCCCAUUACUUUCUUUAAAUUUCUAAUUAGUUUCUUCUUUAAGCUCUCCUUACUUGAAUAUUCUGAUUUAAUUCCUCUUUAUUCCCAAAAUGCACCUAAAAUAACAAAAUAUAAAAAUUAACAUAAAAUUAACAUAAUAAAAUAUAAUUUACUAAAUUAAAAAUUAACUAAAAUAACUAGAAUAUUUAAGACCAAAACAAGAAAAAGAUAGAGAAAUUAAUAGCAAAAUAUAUGGAAAAUAUGCACUUAUCAGUAAUCAUCAAGCUGCACUUGGUGAAUUCGCAUAACUUAUUACCUCUAUGACUAUGAAUUCCUACAAAUAUAAAGAAACUACAUUAGACGGUAAGCUUUUGCAAUAUUGUGGAAAGAAGGAAAUACAAAGAUUGUGAGAUUGCAUUGUGUCAGUCAAUCAUUUAGUCAUAUGAGGUCUCUAAAGGAUUGCUCUAAUAAUUUGAAUGUAUAAUGCUCGGGUGCCUCUGUAGAUUUAGAAAUCCUUUAUGUAUGGCCAAAUGAGUACAGAUAUCAAAUCUUUGUUAGUUUGCAUCUUUUUAGGUGCCAAAUACCAAUCGCAAUGAGGAUCCGGAAGCAAACGGCAGCAUGCCUAUGUUGGCGGUAGUGACCAAUGAUGAUUCUAAGAGACAAGGUCCAUAUGCUCGUAGGACUGAUGGUCCAUAUGCUCGUAGGAGUCUGACAAUUUGAUUAUUGUUUCAUGGUUAGAGCCUAGAGGAGGCAUUUGCUCCCAUUUGUGCAUUUGAUUCAGAUUCGAGUUGACUAUAAUUAUAGAUAUCAAUUUUGACCAUAAAAGCACAUUAAUUGGGUCCAUGUUUUAGCCAUAGCUGUUACAAUUAAUUUCAAUUACUUUGUAGUCCAGUUGGAUAAAUAUCCGUAAUUUGGAUUAUAACUAAAUACAUAUGUAUUAUUUAGCUGAAUAGCUUUUUAUUUAUAGAACUCGUUGAGGGGGUUAAACGAUGGAGUUAAGUUAUCUGAGAUUCUUGAAAUUCAUGAAACUUGUAUUAUGCCAAUUAGAAACUUUUAAUGUGCUAAUUAAUUAUUGAUCGGCAUGGUUAAUCGUCUUGGGUAAAUGUACACUACGUGAAUCUUUUUUAAAAAGUGAGUUUAUUAUUAUCAUUAUCAUUAUUAUUAUUAUUAUUAUUUAACCUAAUUGCAAUAAAAUUUCCUAGUAUUUUAUGUGCGGGUUUCAACUACAGAACCAUCGCUUUCUACUUACAAAUUUUACCAACAAAAUUAGCGGCCCCCAGCCCCCCACAAUGGAGAGAUUUAUAUGUACCUCACAUAUUUCUCUAGUUAUUAGUUAUCAAUUUCAUGAUUGUGUUAUUUUCUUGAAAAUUAUCCUCAAAAUAAUUGUGUUCCACAGCAUAUCUCCUAAAGAAAAAUAAGGGCGUCUUCUAUUUUACCCAUAAUAUACGGGAGAUGUCGACGUAGUUUUAUAGACUCAUUUGAUCUGAAUAGUACAUAAAGAUCAUAAGCCAGAUAUUUAUAUGUUAUCAAGAUAAUAUUAAUGGCAUGUAUACAUUCCGGAUUGGGGAAUCAAAAUCAUUGACAGCGCGUACAUUGCAAAACAGAGGCGGGAAUCGGAAUCGUGGGAUCCACCCAAUUUGAGAAUGAGGAAUGAAAGAUUGAUUCUCGGGGGUUGAGAAUCAAUCUCUCAUUUCCUAGUCAAUCUCCCAUUCCUAAACUAUCCAUUUUACCCCAAUGAAUUUUCAUAAUUCCCAAAAUGCCCUUAAUCAAGUUUUGUCAUUUUUUCAUUUCAGUCCCUAUAAAAUUAUGAAAUUACCCAAAACUUUUGUAUUAUUUGUAAAUAAGUCCUCUAAUAAUAAUAGUAGUAGUAGUAAUAAUAUUAUUAUUAAUUUUAAUUUUAAAUAUUAUUAUUUAUUAUUAUUACUAUCAUUAAUGUCAUUAUUAUUAUUAUUGACUUUAUUAUUUUAAUUAUUAUUAUUUUUAUUAAAAUUAUCAUUAUUAAAAUCUAUUAAUAAUAGUAAUAUUAUCAUAAAUAAGAAAUUUAUUAUUAUUGUUAUUAUUAAUGAUAAAAGUAUUAUAAUCAAUUCUUAACGUUAAUAAUAAUUAUGACAAAAGUUAAUUAAGGACUUUUUAGUAAUUUGUAAUAAUCUAAUUCAUUCCGAUUAUGAUUUCAGGACAUAGUAAACAUUUCAAUGGUAAUAAAGUUUGUUUCGAUUUUGAUUCCUACAACUCAAGUAAAUAACUAAUUAUAAUUCCAAUUCCUCAUUCUGAUUCCAGCGCAUUUCGAUUCCAACCCAUUCCAAUUCUCGUGUAGUAAAUGCAUCAUAAGGGUGAUUAUGUAUAUAAUUACUCAUAUUGAGAAUCCAUAAAUGGUCUUGCAUGCACUUAAUUUCAAGGGCAUUAAUAUUUUAUAUGUUAUCAUAAUUAGGGGUGAGUAAGCCCAAUCCAAACUAAUGGACCCGAUCUAGCCCAAUCUAAUUUUCUUAAUUUUAAUAUAAUUAGUUUUUUAUCUUUCUUUAUCAAACACUAGCCAAUGAAUGAAAUUUUCAUGUUAUAAUAUAUUUAUAUUUAAUUUUAAUAAGUUUUAUAUCUUUUUUAUUUAAUUUUUAAUUUUAAUUUAACAUUCAAACUAACCUGAUGAUUUAAGGGUUAGAUUGAACAUGCUUAUUUAAUUGGGAUAGAUUGAUUUUAUCUCAAUCUAUUGAAUAAUGAGUUAGAUUGAAUAUUCACAAAUCUUAUUCACCGUAACCCAUGCCCAUCCCUAAUAAUACUCCUAAUAAGCACCCUAUGGGUUUUCAUUGAAUAAUGAUCUAUUAAUCCACAUCUACUUUGUGACUGGAUUAGCGAGCCAAGCGAUCUAGCCACUCCAGGACCAAUACUUGACUCUAGGUUAAUGGAUCAACAAUGGACUGAAAGAGUGAGACUAUUGGCACCCCUCUAAAUAUCUCUCAACACCUCUUUUCUUUAUUAACCCCAUUAAAAUAUUUAACAAUAUUAUAAAAUUCUUUUAACACCCUUUUAAUGACAAAAAUACCCUUAGUUUAAAUUUAUUAAUAUAAACCCCGUUUUAAUUUUUGACCGCUGAUUGUGAUUUUUUUUUUGAAAGCACCUUAUUAUGAAUUUUGAAACAAUUAAUCAUCUAUUGAAAAAGAAAGAAAGAAAAGGAAAAAAAAAAGGAAAAGGGAUCUUGCUCCAGAAACUUCUACUUUAAUGUGGCAAAUCAUUGAAACACCACAUGGCCAAAACUUUACUCUAAUGCAUGACAACUCAUUGUAAUUGAUAAUGACACCUCGCAAACACUUGGCUACCAUGCGUGUAAUUCUAAGGCCAAGUGCUAAUUUGGUUUACUGAUGAAGAUGAUGAGCACAAGCUUCUGAAAAUGCAGAAUCACGGAUUCUUCGAAAGACUGCGAGCCUUUGUGGAGAAAGACAACUGGGGCACUGGAAAACAUGUCGGUGGGAAAAUAAUUCUGAUGUUCGUUCAGCUCGUCCUUUGCUUCAUAAUUACUUUCUUCUUUCUUAAUUUCCCUCAUGGGCCUCAGUUUCUUCCUGAAGCUUGUUGAUGAUGAGUUGCAUAUGCCGAUAAUUCCUCACCAGAAAAUAAGAUUAAAAAGUAACUUUCUUAAUUUUUAAAAUGCUGAAUUUCAAUUUCAGGUACUAUUCAUUUUAUCUCUUAAUCAAGUUAUUUUUCAUUUUUCUGCUGAUAUUUUAAUAUUUACAGUCAAUUGUAGCAUUACUUAAAUUUAUAGUAUGUAGAUCAUAAUUCAUAAAUUAGUUUGUAGUUGGAGUAAACUCGGAAAUGUUAAAAAAAUAAUAAUAAAAACAAAAAGAGUACAGACAAGUUGUCAUCUUGAGUAACAAUAAAAUAAAAAAUUCCAGCUUAUACAAAGUCUUUCUUUAAAAAUAUGAAACGAAUAAAAUGACUAUUAAAAUGGUUCAAAAUUUUCUAAUACUGUCAUUGACUAGCUAGAUCAAUUGUUUCUUGUGUGGUAACUUCAAACACCAAAUCCUUAAAAGCAAUUAUAUUAGUUUUGUAUGGUGUUGCCCAGCCUUCUGCACAUGGUUCAUGAUAUUUGAUCCAACUAUUCGCAAUAGGAGGAAUAGGUGAAGCUGGAAGCAUGAACACCUGGAAAAAAAAAAGCCAUAAAAAAAUUAGUCCAAUAAUUAAGAUAUUGCAGCAUAAUUUGAAUUUCUAAACUUUUACAUACCUCUAUGAAAUGAUUUCUAUUAACAAAUCCAAUAGCAAUGAUUUUAUGCGAGGAGCGUGAUAAUGGAAUAGAUCUAAGUGGAAGGAAUGUUAGAUUCAGCACAUCUGAUAUAUGUAGUAAUACCACAUUAUAUUUAGAAGCAAUAAUAUGACCAAUUUCAGGCAUGGUCAUCCAAUACUCUCUCCCUGGGUUAUUCUCAAAGUAUAAAAGUGAAUGAAGUACCUCCUCUGCUCUACCAGCAUAUUCAAAGACUCUUUUAUAAUCAUUAAAGUGACUUUGCAACUCAAUAACUAAGUCUUUCCUGACUUGUGCCCAGCUAUCUUCACCAAUACCUAUUAGGUUAGCCACUGCCCGAAAACCACAAUUACCAUCUGCAACAACAUCGCUAACACCACAAAUAUAAGGCCUCAAACCAAAUGGAAAUGAAUCAAUAUAAGAAGCAUGCUUUGGUGCUUUUGUUUGAGAAACACUCAUUUUUCGUUGCCCUUUUGGUUUUUUUGUAGUUGUACUUGAAGACAUAAUGUUUGGAGAAUGAUUAUCCUGUGCGGAUACUACAUACUCAAAUCUUGAUGGAUCUCGGCGGGUAGAUUUAUCAAGCUUUUGGGAGGGUCGUCCUCGAGUCUUAUCUUUAAUAGUUGGCUCAAUUAAAAAAGUUGAGGAUGGAUCAGUUAACUCUUUCAGUUUUCUUUUUAUUUGCAUUUUUCCGAAACCAUCUGAAUCUUCAAAACUCUUGAUAAUCAUUUCCAUUUUAGGGGUACAACUCAACUCUGCUGAUUUUUCAUAGCUGGUGCAGACAAGGUCUAAUUUCCUCCAAUGCGAAUGUACAGAAUCUAAAGGUAUUGGUCGACCUUCACGCUUAUACUCUCCAAUUUCAUGUGCACACGGUAGCCCAUGAGUGUGUCGAACUACACAACCACAUGCUGAAAUAUCUAUACCAAUUAAAUUAGCUCUUUUUGACUCACUUAGUAUCAUAUCUAAUGCAUUUCUAGCAACUAAUCCCCUUAAUUCUUUAAAAACUGAAGGUGUGAAACUAUGUUGCAUAGUAGUCAAACUCUUCUCAAAUGAUGCCUUAAUUUCUGUAUGUUGCAACUCUACCAAAGAAUAAAGUUUUGUCCAUAACGUUACAAAGUUUCCUUGGGAUGAACAUAGUUGCCUUUUUAAUUUUGAAUGUGCAGUCUCAGCCCUGAAAAUAAACCAACAAAAAUUAAAAAAAUAAAAAGAUAUAUAAAAAAAUGGUGUUGAGUUUAGUUAUAAAAUCAUUGAAAACUAAAUAUUGUUUACCUGUUGGUUGUCAUAUUUCCGAAAUGCAUAAUAAAGUCUGUCCAUGCUGCAAUAAAUUUUUCUUUAUACUUAUCAAGCCAUGUUUGCUUUACAUAGACAAGUGCUUUUGGAUAUCUAGCAUAAUCACUCUAAAACAUACUCAAGUGUUGUAUGUACUCUUGCUCAGUGGCUGAGAACACCAGUACAUUCCAGCUGCUGUUAAAGGCUUCCCAUCUUUCAUUAGUCUCAAAUAGCUUCUUACAAUUAGCUAACACAUUUCUUGAAAUAUGCCAUCUACAAAGUAAAUUAGUUGCACUUGGAAAUAUCUUUUCAAUGGCAUUCAUCAGAGCUAAUUCUCUGUCUGUCACAAUCAUAGUUGGUAAUAUAUCAUCUUGCAUAAUGGUUUUCAAUCUUUCUAAUGCCCAAAUAUAGUUAUCUUCUCGCUCGGACUCAAGAUAUGCAAAACCAACAUUAAAUGUCAUUGCAGUCGAUGUGACACCAACUAUUUCCAACAACGAAAACUUAUACUUAUUGACUUUAUAAGUGCAGUCCAUUAUCAGAACACUUGGAAAAGCUUUUAACAAAUCAAAAGUAAGAGGAUGUGCCCAAAAUAUGUCUUUCACACAAUUUGUAUCAUCAUCACUCCGAUGCCACUCAAUGUAAUUAUGAUCAUGCAAUUUACUCAUAAGCUGUUGCAUUUGUGACCGUCCGCCCAAUUCGCGAACCUUAUAUUUAUACCGAGCAUUAUAAAUUGUCUUCAUUGUUGUAACAUUAAAUGUAUCCCUAGUCUUUAAAGUAUGUAAUAUCUCUUUUGGCCGAACAUUAUUUUUAGACAAAUCAACCAAUAUACUAACCUCUUCAUUAGUAAGUCUACCUGCAAAUGAGUGGCCCUCAAGAUAUUGUGCAGAAUGAUGGUUAUGCAAUCCACAGAUUACUUUUAACAUCCAAUCUUGAUUAUUCGCCAACAUUUGACCCUUUAAUAAAAAUGGACAGCCACACUUUUUUGUUCCAAUUGCAUUCGGUCUUUUCUUCUUUUCCAAGUCGUUGUUCUGCUUAGACAUGCUGGUACUUCUUUUCGGAUAUGCACCACUUCUUUCACAAGCAAAAAUUAUCCUUGGUCUCCUUCCAAUCACAUUCACGUCAGAUCUUUUAAUAACAAUCACAAGUCCAUUUUUUUUCCCAACAUCAUGCGUCCAUCGAAUCAACUCUUCUCUACUGGUGAAAACCUAUGAAUAAGACAAUAAUAUAUUAGUUAAUGAUACAAAGAAAAGAGAAUAUAUGUAUGAAAAUUUAUAUAGUGUUUUACCUCUUCAGUAGUGAAUGCAGCAGUGUAAUCCAUAACAUCUACUUUAUUAUCAAGAAUGGCAACUAUGGUAGAACUUUCCUCCUUCACAAUCAUUGUAAGAUAUUACAUAAGUUAAUACAAGACACAAAACUCGAAUAAUAGCAAUUUAUUCAGCAAUAAUCAACCAAACAAUUGACAUUUGUUAAGGGGAUAUUUGUUGAACAUUGUUCAACGCUCUCCUUGUCAUUAUAAUUCUAAAACAAUAAAUUAAUAGCAAACUUACUUUUUUAUUAUCAUCCUCAUAUGUUUGCAUGAAUACUUUGCCCUAAAUUUGAAACUCUUAGAUUAGGGUUUAAGAAAGAAAAGAGAGUUUAUACCGUAUGCCGUAUAAAGAAUUUAAAACUCUUAAACAAAAAUAUGCCGUAUAAGAAAUUUUUAAGGGAAAAAAUUAUUUGAUUUUGAGUAGGGGUUUAAUUAGAAAUUGUCUUAUUAUGUAAUUUUAAUAAAGGUUGUAAUUGUAAAAUAACUAAAGGGGUGUUAAGAGGUAUUUAGGGGGGGUGCCAAUAAUCCCACUCGGACUGAAAUUAUCAAUCAAGACACAGAACUUCCAUCUAGCCCAAACCAAUACUUAUGUGAAACAAUUGGUCAUUGAUGGAGUAAUCGACUUUGUGACAUCAUGCCAAAAAGAAAAAUUAGUUGACCCUUUUACUGUGUAAGGGAUGCGACCUCUAGCAUCAUCUUUUCACCAGUGACCGAGAAUCAACACAAUGAACAUCAAGGUCUUGGAUUCAGUGAGUAGAAGGCAAACAUUAUAAUUAAUUAUUUUAGAUAUGUUCUAUGGUAUGUAUGUGCUUCACAAAAAAAAAAAAAAAAUAGUUAAGUUAUGAAAUAUACUCUCACUUAAAGAUAUGUGACAAAUUUCUUAAAAAUUCAUAGGAGUUUAGAUCAUAAGAAGAUUUUAUUUUCUAAAUUCAUUUGAUUUUUGAAACGGUUACAUGGAUAAUUAAAAAAAAGUGUCACAUUUAAAUGGACACCAUUUAAUGAACUAAAAGAGUUUGUAUGACAAAAUAGGUAAGUAAGGAACAUCUUAUACUGUGGAACCAAAUUUUAAUUAUAUAGGAUUGAUAUACAUAGAAAAAUUCGUUUCACAACUUUAAUUGCCUUAAACUGGGUCCAUACAUUUAUCUAAUUUCAGCUUUCACAUUAUAAUUAAAGCUAAAUAAAUUUUUCUAACGUGUAGGAUAUUAACAAAGUGAAGACUUAAAGAAAGCCUCAACAUUGACACUUACACUUCUUAUGAUUGGUAUGAUCCAUGUCGUCCUAAAACAGAAUCAUGGAGGACAGAAGGAGGAGGAAAUAUUGAUUACUGCUUAUGGGACGGCGUUCAACGUAAUGAGAACACUGGUCAUGUCAUCAAGCUUGACCGUUCAAAUAGCUGCCUCCAAGGUUCUAUCAACUCUAGCAGCGGUCUUUUUGACCUUGUAAUUCUUGAGUGGCUUUAUCUUUCUUUUAAUAAUUAACUUCAAUUCUUCUAAAUUAAUCCUACAAAAAAUCAUCAACCUAUCGAGCUUAUCAUAUCUAGACCUCUUUGAUUCUUCAUUUUCUGGUCAAAUAACGUCAAAAAUAUUAAAGCUCUCAUAUUAAAGCUCUCGCCAAUUUGUUGUCCCUUGAAUUAUAAGGAAAUUUAUAUCUUGCACUCUCGAGAAGCCAUGUAUGGAAAUCUAUUUGAGAAUUGUUAACCAUCCUAAAAGAACUUGAUCUUAGUGCUGUGAAUGUGACAAUUGAUUCUUCAAUACUCAUAACUUGGCAAAUCUAUCUUAUUUGACAUUUUUAUCUCUUUCAAACUGCAUGCCAGUUGCAGAUCAUCAAUUGAAGGUGUGGCCAAGCCAGUUACUAGUAUUCUUAACAAGAGCUUCGAGAUAAGGCACAUGUGGUGUUGUUAGUACAGAGCCAAGGCAUCUCCUUGUCGUCGAAUCUACCAUGCAACGAGGCAAUUCUUUCAUCGAAAACAGUGUUGAUUCCUAGCUUCUAGGUGAAUAUUUACUAUGCACUACUGCUCGUGGUACAAAAUCUAAGAAAUUUAGAUGGUGCACAUAUUCUUUCGUCACUUAUCGAACCCCUGCAAACAGAUUAUUGACAUUUAAAUUGUUGGGUUUCCUUGCCAUCUUGUGGGGUAAGUUUUUUCAGUUAAAAUUUAAUUUCCAUUUUUUUCUUUUCUUGAGCAAAGUGGUUGGCGUUAAAAUUUUUUUUUUUUUCCUUGAAAAGUAUAAAUCGAUCCGUAGUUGUGAAGUUUAAGUGUUUAUGAGAAUUUGUUCAUAUGAAGCAAAUAAAGUAUAAAUUUGUCAUUAAAUGCUAAUGCUUUGCGGUCUUGACAUUCUUAAACAGCUUUGGCUUUUGGUAAACUUAAAAAUGAGCCAAAAAAAGUUCAUUAUAUUAAUUAGGUCACUCCAUAAUGCCGUAAUUAAAAUUACGGUAAAUAUAUUCAAUGUUAAACAUAAAUAAUGUAAUUUAAAUGUAAGAUAUAUAAAUUUAACAUAAAAUUUAUAAAUCAACAUUAAAUGUAAAACAAAACAUUACCUAUAUAAAUAGAAUAUAAAACUUAUAAAUAAAAGGUAAAAUAAGUAAAUUAACAAGUAAACUUCUAAUUUAAUUUAAUUCUAAAAAUUAAUUCAUUUCAAUCCGACUUUUUUAAAAUAGCCCUCAUUCUUUUAAUUUAAAUUAGGACACUCUUUUAGACUUUUGAGGACAAUUUUAAAAAAAGAAAAACUACUAUGAUGGAACAUGUGUCCUAAAUCAAUUGGCCAACACCAUCACAUUAGCAUAUGAUAUGGAUGUGUUGGCAUCUGGAGGAGUAUAUUUUAUGAAAAUUCGUGUGGGACAGAAGAUGAAGAAAACUAAUAAUCCUCUCUCAUUCAUCUUAACAGCUGAAUAAAAAAACACAUUGAAAUAUUUUUCAACUCGGAAGGAUUUCAAUGUGGUGCAUCCAUGGAGAUCUGUGCAAUCAUCGGAGGAAGCCUGAAAUGAUGGAGAUCUGACUAUGCUAUCGUAGAAGGUUCCGUAUGGUCGCCAAUCUCGCGAACCAUUCCCAGCCCAGUGAUAACAAUUUCAAAAUUACAAGUCCUAUUUUACUCGCUACUUUCAUGUCUUUGUUAUUUUUUCUUUGUUGAAAUAGUUUUUGUUUUGAAUAGAGUGUUAGUUCUACUCUCAUAUUUUCGUGGACUAUAAAAUGGUAGGCUUGCAAAAUUUAGAUAAAAUGUUCUCAUCCAGAUGGUGUGACUUAUACGGUCAUGUGAUGAUUAGCUAUUAAGCCUUGUCAAUUCUCAUAUGAAUGAUGAUUUUAUAUUGUUUGUGUAAUAGUAUCACUAUCCUUUUGUUAAAUUGUUGUAAUGGAGAGAGUUUCAGUACCUUAAGAAUUUAAAUGUAGUGUGAACUGGAUCUGGAUUUAUAAAUGGUACGUUUUGACAUUGAAUUUAUUAUUCUCAACUCAAGGUUGUCCAUUGUGUUAUAGGAAAAAAGUAAGAUUGCACUUUUUGUUUUUCCCAACUCAAGGCACUUAAAGAAAUGAAGAUAAAGCUGUUUUGUUUGCAGAAAUAUUAGAGAAUAUUCCAGAUCUUUUUUUUUUAAUUGCUUAACAACAAUUUUACAAUUAAAUUAAAUUCAUGUAUGAUGCUUAAGCAUCAUUAUUAUAACUAAUUCAUAACUAACUAAAAUGAUUAAUGCAUGCUAAACUUCAUCAUAUGUACGUAACAAAUUGUAACAGACUUUAAGAACUUAUGUUGAGCUAGCAGCUGAGCUGUCACUUUGAUUUCAACCAUUUGAUGUCAUUGUUAGCCUAUAUGGCUAUAAAUAUUGAUUUUGAUGAUUACAAACCACAUGUGUUAGUUAAACAAAGAUUUAUGAAUUAUGCUUUUAUAAUAAAAAAAAUGAUUUUAUGGAAUUAAAGUUGUGGACUAAAAUGAAAGAAUCUUAUAAUCCUUGAUUUUAAUAAAUGUUGUUUUUAAUUUCGGAUUUGGACCUAUUUAAAAUUAUUUAAAUAUUUUGGGUUAUUCUAUAAUUUCAAAAAAUUUUGAGACUGACAAAAUAUUAUUUAGAAAUUCUGAAAUUGGACUUAUUUGAAAAUUUUCAUAACAUUUUAGGCUAUAAUAUAAUUUUAUAAAGUUUUGAGGCUAAACUGUAAUUUUAGAAAAUAUUUCACUGUAGUAGUUACUGUCGCAAGCGGUUAACUGGAUAUGAUAAGCAGCAUACCGGAUGUUUUGAGGCUAAACGACUAUCCGGAUUUCGUAAGCGGCAUACCGGAUGUUUUGAAAUUCAAAUUUUUAUUGUAAUGGUAACAAAAAGUGACUAACCAGAUUCUGAAAUCGGCAAGCUGGUUAUCAUCAGAAAAUAUAUAACGGCUAGUUUUUGGGCUCAAACUAUAUAAACUCAAAUUCAAUUUAUUUUCAAGCCCUCUAGCAAGAAAAAAUAAAAAGCACACGAGAUAUCUUAAGCUCUCAAUUCGUAAAUCAUAAAACAUUGAAUCAUCUCUUGUUUUUCAUUUUGAAUAUCUACUCUUUGAGAGAAUUUUGUUGUAAUUUUUAUUUCCUCAUAAAUUUGUGAGUGUGUGAGACACUUGAGUGAAGAGAUUAGGAGAUGAUCUCUUUGUUGUAAAGGUUCAUUGACACCUUGAAGUCAAUUGUAAACAUUUGAAGCCUUGGAAGGCUUGAAUAGUGAAAUCCUCAAGCUUGGAUUGCUUGGAGGCGUGGACGUAGGCGGGGAUUGCCGAACCACGUAAAAAUUCGUGUGUUUGUUUCUCUUCUCUCUUACUCAUUUGUUAUUGUGCUUUUAUUGAAUUUAUUACUUUCAAAUUUAUUAAGGCGUUAGAUUGGAUUAUUGUGUGGUUUUGUUAAGAUAAUUUUUAAAAUACCAAUUCACCCACCCCCCUCUUGGAUUGCACACUUGUAUUUCAAACAUCAGCUCCUCCUCCUCCUCCUCCUUCUUCUUCUCUAUACAGCGAGCUUACUUAUAGUCCUCCUCAAACUCAAGGGACAGGGAUGAACAUUAAGUUUGGCUGUUAAGUAGUUAACUAUAUGAAUGAAAGAGAAUAUUCCAAAUCUUUUUUUUUAUUGCUUAACAACAAAUAUCUGCAACUUGUUAUGCACUUGGUACAUAAUGAAUGCUAAGCUCUCCUACAAGAACUUUAUUGCGGAUAAAAUGGAUAUCAAUUUCAAUAUGCUUUAUCCUUGAAUGAUAAACAUGGUUCCUAGUUAGCUUAGUUGUACUAAUAUUGUCACACCAAAUUGUAGGUCUUUCUAUGCAACACAUUCCAAUCUCAGUGAAUAAGAAUUGUAACUAAAUCAAUUCUGCACUAGCUGAUGCCAAGGCUCUAUAUUCACUUUUUGUACUUGAUCGAUCUAUGACAGACUGCUUCUUAGAAGACCAUGAUAUCAUAUUGUUGCCUAGAUAGAUGCAAUAUGCACUCUUUGAUUUCUUGUCAUCCAAAUCACAUGUCCAAUCAGUAUCUGUAAGCCAGUAAACUUCAAAUUGUCUUCUUUGAUGAACUUCAAGCCAAAGUCUUAAGUGGCCUUCAAAUAUAUUAAAACCCUUUUAGAAGCCAUGAGAUGUUAUAAUGUAGGUGACUAAGCUUAUUAACUGCAAAUGCAAUUUCAACCCUUGUUAAAAUCAGAUAUUGCAUUCCCUAACAAUGCUUUUGUAGUUUGUUGGAUCUUUAAGAAAAUAAGUAAGUUUUCCUUGAACAACUUUCUGCAAUUUCAAGUCUACCCUUAUAGUCAAUCAUAUCAACCCUGGCCAAUAAAUCCUUAAUAUACUUUCUCUGUGAUAAGUACAUGUAACCUAUAUCAUACAAUACAUCAAUCCCAAGAAAAUAAGAUAGGAUUCUAAGAUCUUUUAAAGAAAAGCUUUACUAAAUGUAGCUGCAAAGCUUUCUAAUUCUACACUGCUAGUUCUUAUAAUCAAGAUAUCAUCAAUAUAGAGAAGAAUAAGGAUUAUAAAGGUUUGACUCCUUCUUAAAAACAUAGAUGUAUUAGAACUAGUGUAGAUAAAUCCUCAGUGCAGCAAGCAACUUUUAAGUUUAUUAUACCAAGCUCUAGGAGCUAAGUUGAUUCCAUAUAGAGUUUUAUGCAAUUUAUACAUAAAAUCAGGCUUUGUACUGUCAAUGAAGCCUUUUGGUUCUGACAUAUAGAACUCCUCUGUCAAUUAUCUAUUGAUAAAUGUAUUGUUGACAUCAACUUGCCUUAUUUUCCACUUAUUUAUUACUACUAAACUUAAAACUACUCUAACAGUGUUUGGUUUCACCUGUGGACUAAAAAUUUCAAAGUAGUUCACCCCUGCAACUUGUUAAAAAUCUUUAGCAACUAGCCACACUUUAUAUUUAGCCACACUUAUAUCAAUGUUGUGUUUAACUUUAUACAUCCAUUUAUUGCCAACAACCUUAAGCCUGUCGAUAGGCUAAAGACCAUAUGCCAUUAUAAAUCAAAGCAUCAUACUCAUCUUGCAUAGCUUUGAUCUAUUUGGAAUCAAUUAAAGCUUCCUAAACUAAAUUUGGUUCUUUGUGAGCAAGGACAACUGUAUAGACUUUAGCUUUAAAGAUACUUGAUUUUCUUCUAGUGGUCAUAGGAUGGAUGUUGGAGUUUAUAUGAGGUGGAGAGUGUGGCGAUGAUGAAUCAUUAUCAGAAGCAGAUAAUGGCUGAUGUGAGGUUUGAAUAGGAGCAGAAUUUGGCUAAUAUGUGUUUCGAGAUGAAGAAGUAGAGAAGGUAAUUUGCUGUGAAUGUUGAUCAGCUGCUUGUUGUGCAAGAAUAUCUAAGUGAGUUGAAAUGCUACUGUCAGAACUUGCAGAGUUAGGAUGAAUAGUGCUGUUAUUGGUAAAGUGGAGAGUGACAUAUUUUUUAAGGAGAAAAUGAAUAUUAUGAAGAAGAAGUAGAUUUAGUUGAACUAUGGAAAAUAAAUUGUAGUGGAAUAAGGAAUUGUAAAUUUAUAAAAAAUGAAAUGUCUUGCUAUAUAAAGUUGACUUGAAGGAUGUAAACAUUUAUACCCUUAUGUGAUGGAUUGUAACCAAGAAAAGUACACUUGGUAGAGUGAUAAUUAAAUUUUGUUUAUUAUUGUCUCUCAAAUAAGGAUAAUAAGUACAACUAAAACACUUGAGUAUGUCAUAGUCAGUUUUUGUUGGAAUAUUUUCUCACAUAGAGAUAAAAGGUUGAGAACAACAGAGGGCAAUCUAUUGAUAAGAUAGACAACUAUAUGGAAAUCAUCCCACUAAAACUUGAAGGGUUACUGAGAUUGAGCCAAUAAAGUGAGUCCCAUUUCAACAAUGUAUCUAUGUUUCCUUUAAACCAAUCUAUUUUGAUGAUGUGUGUGUGGACAUGAGUGUCCGAAUAUGAUAUCAGAUUGAUUCAAAAAUCAGUAAAAGAUCUUAAUGAUUAUUUGAAACUAAUUUUAAAAGAUCUUAAUGAUUGUUUGAAACUAAUUUAAACUUGCAUUUUAAAAAGUUUAAAGACAUCUAGAGCUUCUAACUUGAGCUUUAAAGGAUAAAUCUAGGUGUAUCUAGUGAAAUCUUCAACAAGACUAAUAUAAUAGUGAUAACCAUCUCUAGAAAAGGUAGGUAAGGGAACUUAAAAGUCUGUGUGAAUCAGCUCUAGAACUUUAGAAGUUUUAGUUGCAGUUGAUGGAAAAUGAAGUUUAUGAACCCUGUCCAUUUGACAAACUUCACAAGUAUAUUGUAGUGCUUGUUGUAUUUGAUUUCUAGAAAAUAAGCAAACUUAACAUUUUUUUAGAAUAUGCUUCAAAAUAUAUUCAUUUGGAUAGCCAAGUCUAGUAUGAAAUAAAGUAAUUUUAUUCACUAACGUUUUACAAGGAGAAGUAGUAGAUUGAUAACAAGACUUCAAAUCUGCAUUAUUAACAUCAGUAACAAAAUUGAAAUGACAAGAAGACUACACUGGCAAUGGCUUAUUUGAAAUGAUAUGAGAAAGAAAUGAAGAUGGUGAUGACUUAAAUGAUGAAGACGGUUUGAGUAACAGCCUGAGUAAACUUUUCUCUGCAAUGCCUUUUAAAAGCACUUCCCCUUUUAGAGAAUCCUUCAUAUCAUAGAUGUUUCCAAGAAAUUCAACAGACAAAUUAUUAUCAUAUGUAAGUUUGGAAAUGCUUAAUAAAUUUUUGGUAAUGGGAGGAACAAGUAGAAUAUCGUUCAGUGCUAUGUGUGGAUGUAUUUGUUUAAUAGUUGAGCUUUUAAAAGUAAAAAGAUGCAUCACCAGUAUGAGUUAUAGCAAACCCUGUCCAUUUCUAAUGAUAAGGUGAUAUAGCCCACUAAACUACUCUCUGAUAUGCAUAUUGGCCAUGUUAUUUGUUAAGGAUGAGUUGCUCCACUGUGAAGAUACCACUCAUCAUCAGCAAGCUUUCAAAGUUAGCAAGAUAAGCAGCUUCAGUUGCAGAGAAUGUUUCAGGUGACUAGAAAGGCAAGGAAUUCAUAUUAGAUAACUAGUAGCUAGAACCACUCGUAGCAUAAAAGUCAUGAAAAUAUGGUGCGAUUUAAGCAUAUGGCUCAAAGCUAGCCAUAUAGGCAGACUUAGAUCUUCUUCCUCUGCCAAAGUGUCUUGAUUGAGGUAUAUAAUUUUCAAUGUACUUAUGCCAAUAAGCAUUAGUUUUAUGACUAGAUUUAUGACAAAUCUGACAUCCAAGAAUGCUUUCAUCAAAUCCAUCUCUAUUAGGUAUGAAACUUUGACCAUGAGAUAUAUUGAAAGCAGGUCUGGCAUGUGAUGCUGACUUGUGAAAUUGCAUCUUUAGUGAGUGUCCUUUGCCAAAGUUAUUACCAUCAAAGGGAAAGCCUUUGGGAUAUGUAUGAUAAAACAAUCCUCUUCCAGAAUUAUGAUUAAUUCUUGUUUCCAUUAUGAAAAUGUCCCUAGUAUCUCCUAUAACCAAAGCCUCCUCUUUUACCAUUACCUCUAAUUGGAGGAUAGUUAGAGUUCACCAUUCUAUAAUCGGCAUUAAAUAUUGAUUUAGCAUUUUGAUUUUAUUGUAAUAUAGCCUUAUGCAUAAAAAACAAUGCAUAUGCAUCAUAUUAUGUCACUUUAUUAGCAAUAAUAAUAAAGCAAGAUCCAAAUAUCCAGGCCUCAGUCCAUUCAAAACUCGCAUUAAUAGAUCUCUGUCUGAUACAUGACUACUAGCACAUGCAAGUUUAUCGACAAGUAUUGUGAAUUUCAAGCAAUAUUCUUCAAUAGAUAUGGAAUUUUUUCUAAGAACAUUCAUCUCAUAACAAAAUUGCAUUAUCUUAGCUUCGAAUUGAGCUCCAAAUUGCUUCUAAAUAGACUUCCAUACAUCAUAUGAAUUAUUACAAUUAAAAACAGAGCUCAAAAUACAUUCAUUGAUGGAUGAUAAAAGCCAGCCAAGAAGAAUUUAAUCUUGAGUUCUUCAAUUGAUGUAAGCUGGAUUAUCAACCUUCUGCACCAAUCCAUCGGCUGCAGUGUGAAAGAUCUAUUGUUCUAGUACAAUUUGAUCACCAGAUAUGAAAUCUUCAAGUUGAUUCCCUCUCAUUGAAGUAAGAACCUACUUUCUUUAGAGUAAGAAAUUGAAUCGAUCAAGCUUAACUCGACCGCUAAAUGAAAAAGAGAUAUGUGAAUUUUGAUUCGUUUGUAUUAAAUUUUGAUUUGAUGUUGUACUACUUGAGCUAGCCAUUAUUGGCUCCGAUACCAUGAAAGAAAUGAAGAUGAAGUGUUUGGUUGCUAAGAAAAUAUUAGAGAAUGUUCCAGAUCUUCUCAUUUUUAUUGCUUAACAACAAAUGUUACAAUUACAUGUAAAUUAUAUACGAUGCUUAAGCAUCAUUAUUGUAAAGUAUGAGCAAAAAGUAGAAUGGGCAGAAUAAUUUUCAUUGAUAUUUGAUUGAGUAUAUAUACAUGCUAGGAUCCCUAUAAUUAAGCUAUGCAAUCAAAGUCUACUGUAAUUUAGGAAUACAUAUAGAAAGAUAUAUUUAUAGCUCAAUAUAAUGAAUAAAUGGAUUCUACUUUCCAAUACUCCCCCUCAAGUUGGAGAGUGAAUCCAGCACUCCCAACUUGGGAACCAUAGGCAUGAAAACUUCUUUUCCCAAAGCUUUGGUCAGUACAUCAGCAAGCUGAUUUGCGGAACUUACAAAUUUCGUUAUCACACAAUCUUCUUGUAUCUUGUCUCUUAUAUAAUGACAAUCCAUCUCUAUGUGCCUUGUGCGUUCAUGAAAAACUGGAUUAACUGCUAUAUGUAAUACAACCUUAUUGUCACAAUAUAGCAAUGCAGCAUCUUGAUGUAAAAUCCCAAAAUCUCUAAGUAACUAACAAAGCCAUGUCAAUUCACAAUAAGCUCCAGUCAAUGCAUGAUACUCUGCUUCGGCUGAGGAAAUGGAGACGUUUUCUGGCGCUUCGAUCUCCACAAAAUCAACGAAGGGCCCAAGAACACACAAUACCCUGUAGUAGAUCUUCUUGUAAGGGGGCAUCCUGCCCAAUUCGAGUCACAGUAUGCUCGCAACCAAAGAUCACUAAUUAAUGAGAAGAAGAAGCCUUGACCAGGAGCAGAUUUUAAAUAGCGCACAACCCGUAAGGCUGCCUCCCAAUGAUCCUUCCAGGGUUGGUGCAUAAAUCUGCUCAAUAUAUGGACAACGUACAUGAUAUCAGGCCUCGAAACUGUGAGAUAUAUUAAUCUUCCAACUAAUCGCCUAUAUCGCCAUGGAUAUUUAAGUGGCUCACUUUAUCAGACAACUUUAAGCCACGUUCCAUGGGAGUAUCAAUGGGAGCUGCCCCUAAUAACCUUGCAUCCUUAAUAAGUUCCAAUGCAUACUUUCUAUGAGAAAUAAAAAUGCCCUUCCUAGAUGCAGAAAUCUCAAUACCAAGGAAAUACUUCAAGUCUCCUAGAUUUUUAAGGUGAAAUUGAUUAUCCAAGAAUUUUUGAUAUCGGCUAUACUCACAAGAUCAUUCCCAGUGAUUAAAAUGUCGUCAACAUCUAUCAAAAGGGCAGUAAAGGACUUGCCUUGCUUCCUAGUGAACAAAGAGUAGUCAGCUUUUGAUUGUACAAAUCCAGCUGAACGUAUGGCCUCGGAGAAUUUAGCAAACCAUUGACGAGAGGCAUGUUUCAACCCAUAUAAUGACUUGUGGAGGCGACAAACCAAGUGUUCCUCCCCCUGUCGCCGAAGCCCUAGCGGCAGAGACAUGUAGAUUUCUUCUUGGAGGUCACCAUAAAGAAAGGCAUUAUUGACGUCGAGUUGAUGAAGAGACAAACCACGGGAAGCAGCUAACGCCAACAAGCAACGAACAUAAAUUAUUUUUGCUGUCGGAGAAAAAGUAUCCUGGUAGUCAACUCCCUCUAAUUGAGUGAAACCCUUGGCUACAAGCCGCGCCUUAUACCGUUCAAUAGACCCAUCAGACUUAUGUUUGAUUUGUAAACCCAACGACAACCAAUUGGAGUUUUACUAGCCAGAAGAGAGGUAAGAGACCGAGUACCAUUUUUCUGUAGUGCCUGCAAUUCAGAACGCAUUGCUGCUUGCAGCUCAGGGAGAACGACAGCUUCUGAAUAAGACCUGGGUUCUGUGAGAUUAUUGAUUUGAGCAAUAAAGGACUAAUAAGCAGGCUUAUAUCGGUGAUAUGAAAUAUAAUUAGCCAAUGGAUAUCGUGUACCUUUGGUCGGACUUGGAAUUAAGGAGGCCGAUUGGUCGGAGUAAACAUGCGAGCAGACGUAGUCGUGGAGCUUGACCAGUGGACCAGUGUUGCGGCUGGAGCGACGAAGUUCAGGUACGGGUUUGGGUGCUUGUGAUGCAGCAGGUUCAGGGAAUGAAAGAGGCGAGGACUGUGGGGCCAGAGAAGAUGGAUCAGAGAAGUUUAAUGGGGUGACAGGGAUCGAAGAAGGUGGGUCAGUUAAGACUAGUAAGGCAACAAGUUUAGGACGGCAGGAAUAAGUGCGAAGGACGGCUUAGGGAGGGGAAGAUGGUGGUUCUACCACGAGAGGAGAAGAGGAAAUUUGAUUGGGAGAAUUGGGAGAGAGUUGGGAUGAGGGAAUGGGGCUUGGUGGAAUUACGUGAGAGUUGAAUGAUGAGUCAAAGAAAGAAGGAAUUAAAGGAAUUGGGCUUGAUUGAUGGGCUGUCAAGGGAAGAGAAAAUUUGGGUUGGACGGAUGAGUAAGGAAAAAUAGUUUUGUGGAAUUUGACAUCCCGGCUGGUAAAAAUCUCUUUAGUUGAUAAAUUAAAUAAUUUGUAGCCCUUUUGAGCAAUGGGAUAACCGAUGAAUAUGGAUUGUAUGGCAUGAGAGUCGAAUUUGUGAGAAGUGUGAACAUUAGUGGCAUAGGUCAAACACCAAAAAACACGAAGAUGGAAAAAGGAAGGUGGUUUUGAAUAGAAAAGUCCGUAAGGAGUUUUGAAAGAAAUAACUGGAGAAGGUAACCUAUUGAUGAUGUGUACAGCAGUGAGUGCACAUUCGCCCCAAAAUUGGGUUGGUAGGUGUGCUUGGAAUUUUAAUACUCGAGCUACUUGUAGGAUAUGGCGAUGUUUGCGUUCCACAACCCUGUUUUGUUGAGGAGUGUAAACGCAUGAAGUUUGGAAAACAACACCAUGAUCUUGAAAGAAAGAUCGGAGUGAGAUAAAUUCUCCAUCAUUGUCACUUCGAAAUGUUUUAAUACGACGGUCAAAUUGAGUGAAAACAUGGUUGAAAAAGCGUUUUAAAAGAGAUUGUGUUUCGUUUUUGUGUCGCAUCAAAAAAAUCCAUGUGAAACGAGUAUAAUCAUCAACAAUAGUGUGGAAAUAAUAAGCUCCGGUAAGGGAAGGGUGUUGAUAACGACCCCAAAUAUCAUAAUGAAUUAUUUCAAAAGGUUUUGUAGAAGAAAUAACACUAUGAUUGAAAGGAAAACGACUUUGCUUAGCCAACGGACAUACGGGGCAAGCAUUAUUGGACUGAACAAAAAAAUUCAAAAAGUUCUUGGCAAUAAAACUUAAACGGGAAGGUGAUACAUGACCUAAGCGAUUAUGCUAGACGUCGGUGGAUGAGAUGGUGAGAUUGCAGGCUGGUCGAUUUUUUGGUGAGGAAGGUUUUGUCACAGAUUGCUUCGUCGCUAAUGCCACAAAAAAAUAUAGCCCAUCUCGUUGUUUACCCAAACCAAUCUUCCUCCUAGUAGCCAGAUCCUGCAAAAUACACUAAGAAGGGAAAAACAUUACUGAACAACCCAAACCUCUUGUCAAACGACUAACUAACAUUAAAUCAACUUUAAAUGUAGGCACAGAUAACACAUUAUGUAGAUAAUAGACGGAAUUGAGAGGUAAAGAACCUUUUUGCAACAAUAUUUGCUCUUUCUCCACUAGGCAACAACACGGGCGGUAAUGAGCAAUUGUUAACUUUAUGCAAUAAAUUAAAUGAUGAAGUAAUAUGAUCUAUCGCCCCGCUAUCAAUAAUCCAAUUUCGGGAAACAAUCUUAGACAAACCUAGCUUUGUUACCGUAUUUGCUUUGGAGUGAGAACUUCAUUUUGAUUAUUCAGGAGUGACAAAAGUUGCUUAAGUUGAGCAUCGGAUAUUGUAAGUGAGCCUUCAUUUGUGUUUGAGCCCUCUCCAACUUAAUUAGCCACAGAAAUACCUUUAUGCCGAUUUGAAUUUUGGCCUGAGUUUAUUUUAGCUUUAGGAUGGCCUGGUGGGUAUCCAUGCAGCUUAUAACAUUUCUGGAUCCAAUGGCCGAAAUUUCCACAUUGGUCACACAAAGGCCUACCUCUCUUAGAGCCAGAUCAACGCCGAUCUCCAUCUUGAGGUCCUGCAAGUUCCGGUGCUUGAGAAUAUGUUCGAUCGCGAGAAUCUGGGAACCCAUGAGAGCGAGUUUGUUCAGUUUUUCCUGUUGCUGAAGGAGUCGGCUUGCUAUGUACAGCCAUGACAGCAGCGCUGCUGCUUGAAUCAGUGUUCGUAUUCACUGAACUAAGGAGGCGUUGUUUCUCUUCUUGGGAGAUUGAAGAGUAGGCUUGGCGAAUAGAAGGCAAAUGAUUCAUGAGCAGGAUUUGACCUCGAAUUGCACUAUAAGUUUCGUUAGACCCAUUAGAAACUGCAUCAAUUUCUGUCGAUCGGCUUGUGCUAUGUCUGAAUGUGUUGCCAAUUCAUCCCAUAAACUUUUCAACUUAGUGUAGUAAGCUGAGACAGAGAGUUGGUCUUGUCAAAGAGAAGCAAUAUCUCGUUGUAUCUCGAAGAUGCGAGUUGCAUUGCCUUGAGAGAAAUGCUCAUAGAGAUCUUCCCAAACCUCAUGAGCAAUAGGAUAAUAAGUCACACUGUGAGCUAUUUCUAGAUUGCAAGAAUUGACGAUCCAGGAAUGAACCAUAUCAUUGCAUCUCGACCAAAUCGCAUAGCCUUCGGGAUCGGUUUCUUCUGAAGGAACUUUGAUAGAACCAUUGACAAAUCCAAGCUUGUUCUUGGAGUUUAAAGCUUGAACCAUAGCCCUUUUCCAACCAAAAUAAUUAUCUCCAUUUAGAGGUUUGGAGAUGAGAAUCAAUUCAGGGUUAUCCGAAUGGUGAGUGAAGAAGGGAUUAAAGAGAUCUGCCUUGGAGAAAUAUGUAGAAAUCUCUGAUUUUUGCGGAUCAGAACUGCUGGUUUUUGGAAUAUCUUCAAGGGCCAUGAUGGCUGAAAGAGAGAUGCUACAUGAGAGAUUAAAGUGUAGCAAGUCCUUGCUCUGAUACCAUGUAAAGUAUGAGAGAAAAGUAGAAUGGGCAGAAUAAUUUUCAUUAAUAUUUGAUUGAGUAUAUAUACAUGCUAAGAUCCCUAUAAUUAAGCUAUGCAAUUGAAAUCUACUGUAAUUUAGGAAUACAUAUAGAAAGAUGUAUUUACAGCUCAAUAUAAUGAAUAAAUGGAUUCUACUUUCCAAUAAUUAUUGUGACUAAUCCAUAACUAACUAUAAUGAUUAACGCAUGCUAAACUUCAGCACAAUGUGCAUAACAAAUUGUAACAGACUUUAACAACUUAUGCUGAGUUGGCAGCUGAGCUGUCACUUUGCUUACAACCAUCUGACGACAUCAGCUUCUCCUUCUCCUUCUUCUUCUUCUCUGUAUAGUGAGCUUCCUUAACAGACACCAAGGUUAGUAGUACAUUGAGAGAUAACAUCAAGAGAUAAUUGAAGAGAUGCCUGAGGAUAGAGGGAAGACCAACUAAAAAAGAGGGAUCUUGUUGAGCAUACCAUUAGUCCAUUACUUUGUGACUUUAAAGAGCUUGAUGAGGAGACUCUCACUUCUUCCUUUCUAUUUCUAUCACAAAGGACCAAUCAUGAAGGUGGUAGUGAUCAAUGUCGACUUAAAAGCAAAGGAGCUUGCUGGUGUUAUAUGUUUUUUUUUUUUAAUGUAUUUGUAUCAUUGGAUAUAUUUUUUUUGUAACUAUAAAAGCAAGCCAAAAGUUAGCAAACACAUUUUUCAUGUACGAUAUUUUAUGUAAGGUCGUCACCACCAAGCUCAUUUUGCCCUCCUGCUAGUGCAAAAAAAUUCUUGCAUUAACAAGCAAGAUUCUCUAGCUUAUACAUUCUAUACGUAGAAAAUGUUAAAAUUCUUUUGAGGAAAAGAAGACGCUGCAAAUUCUUCAAAGAAAAACACUGUAUUAUGUUUUGCGUGCACGCACUCGCACAACAUAAAGCGAACUCAUUCUAUAAUUAUAGUAAUAAAAUUUAAAAAUUACGGUUUUGAAGUGAUUGUAAAAAUAUUUAUAUAGGUCAGUCCGACCAUUUCUACCCACCAAGAUGGUUGGUUAAUCAUUGAUGUUGUGACACUUGAUAGAGCAGGAAGUACUAUAAAUUUUUAAUAUUAAAUUUUGAUGGUCGUACGUUCGACCCGAUUGCGAUCGCUCAAUAAUACUCACUGGUGAUCCCAUAACGGUACUUAUCGAGAGUAGUACGACUAACAUUUAAAAGUUUUUCUGGAAUUGCGAUGCUCAUGUGCCAACAAAUGCCACAAAACAAUUGGCAAACACGACCAAAUCAGCGGGUGAUGUGGUGGUAUUGGCACCACAGUAAUUAUAUUAUCUCUACCAACGUGUCGCCGCCAGAAUGAAGAGAAUACGAGGAAUACCAACAAAUAUUCUAUCACCCCUGUACAAGCACACACAGAAACACUCCAUUUAUUCCUGUUUUGACUGUUUUGUUGAGAGGGAAGAUGGAGACAACUAAUAUCGAAUAAUCCUCUCUCGCGCAGUCACUCUCAACUGAACAUUUCUCUAUGUACGGACACUUCAAAAGAAAUUGAAAUGUUUCUCAAAUUGGGAGAUUUCGAUGGGAACCGGUGGAGACCUAAACAGCUGUGGGAGCAAGCCUUGAAUCGAUGGAGAUCUGCCUGCGCUGCAGUCAAGAACCGCCGUGGAAGAUUCCGCGUGGUUGUACAAACAAAUAAGCUGCUGUUCUUUGUGUUGUUAUUUAAUCUCUCUGCUUCAGCUUAUGAUAUUCCGUUUCUUUAUGUCUUCUUGGCUGCUUCUUUUUCUUCUUGGUUGCUUGACUUUAAGGCCUCUUUGAAGUUCUACCUCGUUUGGUCUUUCUUUUUCCUCUUGGUCCUGCUUUUGUUCUUUAAUUCUUUUGCUGCCUUGGGUUUAUCGAAUUGAAUUCUUGUUGCUGCUUUUCUCUGCCUUGUUGCCUCCUUGUUGCCCCCCCCCCCCCACCGGUCGCCCUCAUAAUCUUGCCCCUUUUAUAGAUAAUUUUGUGCUUAUCUAUUACAGGUGUCAAUACAAGUUACACAUGCCCAACACCUUGACUCUCCAGCACACUAGACUUAUGUUCUUUUAUUGUCCAACACGUUGCCACUUCAGCACACUAGGCUUAUACUUAAUUAAUUCAUUAACAGUUGCCAAUCUCGCGCGGAGACAAGGGAUAACAAGCUCAAAAUGCAAGUUCUAUUUUACUCGCACUUUCAUUCCUUUAUUAUCUUCUUUUGUUGAAACAAUUUUUGUUUGAACUGAGGGUUAAUCCAACUCUCAUAUUUUCGUUAACUAUAAUGAUAGGCUUACAAAGCUGGAUACAAAGUCUGUAUCCCAGAUGAUGUGACUUUAUCUUGUGUGGUCAUGUGAUGAUUAGUUAUUAAGCCUUAUCACUUCUCAUCCGAAUGGUGAUUUUGUGUUGUUUCUGUUGGGGUACGAACUUUGUGAGUUUUGUUAAAUUGGUGUAAUGUAGAGAGUUUCAGUACCUUAAGAAUUUAAAGGGAGUGUGAACUGAAUUGAUAAAUGGUACAAAAUGAUUUUGACAUUGAAAUUAGUAUACCAAACUCAAGGCUGUCUGUUGUGUUACAGGAAAAAGUAGGAAUUGCGCUUUAUGUUCAAAAAGCUGCAUUGCAGUUGAUUGAUGAUGUGCCAUAAAGUGAAUACGUUGUGACCCACGUUCCAUAUUAUUUUCAAAAAGCUGCACUUAAUUUUACUAGAUCAUAUGACGAUGUGCCAUCAAGUGAAUACUAUGUGAAUGAGCCUGCCAAAGCUAGCAGAUUUCAAGAAUUUGUUGAUGACAUAGGAUCCACCAUUGAAGGCCAUGGUUUAAGGAUAGUCGAGCAUACAAACGCGGUCUUUUCCCGCCAUGUAGGGAAUCCAUUAACUUAUCCUGAAUUGAAGGCAACAUGCUUUGGGGUAUAUCUACAAAGUCAUCUUGUGUUGGAAGCAUCUUCAUCUAUGUGGAAUAUAUUUAGUAAUUCUUGUUCGGGUUCGCAUUGGUAUGACAUAAAUUUCAAUAUUAUAUGUCAUUACGUGAAUAUAUUGUGACCAAGGCUUCCAAAGUUAGAAGAAUUCAAGAUUUUGCUGAUGAUGUAGGAAGAAUUCAAGAUUGUGCUGAUGAUGUAGAAUAUGUUCCACACAAUGAUGAUGAUGAUGAUGAUGAUGAUUCUAAAGAUCAUCCAAUUAGCGUAAAUAUGGAACCGGUUUAUAUUGUUUCUCCGAAUGGGAAAUUUAGAAGAAGAUUGCUUUCAUGGCAAAAUGGUGAGCUUUUGGGAAGUGGGUCAUUUGGAUCUGUGUAUGAAGGCCUCGCUGAGUAAGUGAAAUCUGUUCCUGUGUUGAUAUACUUGCAACUCGUGAACAGGAGUUUUAUUGUUUUGAUUGUAUUUUAAUAUCCAUUUGAUUACAUAGCCUUAUUGAUAUGUACCUGCUGAAAGUUUUUAAUAAGUUAAAAGGAUGUACAAUGUCGGAUUGGAAGGAAGUUUCUAGGAAUUUAUUGAAUACUUUUUCUGCUUUCUGAACGAUUCUACAGGAAAAGUGAUAGACUUAACGAUGAGACCUCAAUGGGUUUUGGGUGUGCUACUUGUAAAUCUACUCGUCUUAUUUCUCAAGAUAAUCAUGCUAGACGAAUUCAAUUUUGUUUUUGAGGCAGGGAAAGUUGAUGAUGAGCUAGAUUGGAUAUUCUUUUCCGUAUUCUUACUUGAAACAAUGGCCUUUUGCAACUAUUUUACCAUUUACUUCUAAAUAUUUUUUAUAUUUUGAGGUGUAUUUUAUUUGUUUUGCUAUGCAUCCAUCUUGAAAGUGGUUAGGAUUAUAUUUAUACGGUCAGAUUAACUUGGCCUUGCUUUACUAUCUUUGAUAUGCAUGUUCAUGUGCACGCAUCCAUGAGCAUAUGCUUAUUUUUUAGCAAUUUCUGUCAUGCUUUCUGGUUUGUUUGUAGUGAUUUAUUCUUUUUUGCUGUGAAGGAGAUUUAUUUGCAGGAUCAAGGAACUCAGGGAAAACAGAGCAUUCUUCAAAUUAAGCAGGUGGUAUGAUUUCUCUAGUCCUGCUGGAAGUCCAGUACGGUACAUAUUGUUCUGUAGUUUUUUCUCUCCUUUAAAUUACAAAUAUGCAGUUGCUUAUUUUUAUUCUGCCUCUAAAUAGCUACAGGAUAAGAUCAUUUUUCUAAUAAUCUGUUUGAUAACCUACAUAUCGACAUGGUUGCUGUGUGGUUUGGUUCUAUAUCCAUUAGGAAUAAUUCUUUUAGAGCUUGUGUCAGUGUUCUUUAUUUUGCAUGCGUCAUUUGUUCGCAGGUGUGGCCAAGCCAGUUGCUAGUACCUUUAAGAAGAGCUUUGACAUGAGAAACACGCUGUGUUAGUACAAUGCUAAGCAUCUUUUUUCUGUUGAAUCUGCCUGCCUGGCAAUUCUUGGCACUGAAAACAGAGAUGGUGCAUUCUAGGUGAAUAUGCACAAGGCACAACUGCUCAUGAUGCAAAAUCUGAGAAACUGAGAUGGUGCACACAUUCUUUCAUUGCUCAUCGACCUCCUGCGGACAGACCAGUGGCAUUUAAAUUGCUAGGUUUCCUUCCCUUCUUGUGGGCUAGGUUUUUUCUGUUACAGUUUUCUUUUCUUUGGCAGAGUGUUUGACAUCAAUUUGGUGUAAAUAACUCUUUUUCAAAAAGUAAAAAUCGGUACUUGUGAACUUUAUGUGUUGCAUUUUAUGGACCGCUCAAAAGGUAAACUCUGC
rnacentral:lncRNA from 1 species